rnacentral:lncRNA from 1 species
UAUAUGAUUGUAAGAGACUAGAGGCCUUACCCAAGGGAUUGCACAAUCUGAGCACUCUUCAAUACUUAACAAUAGGAAGAGGAGGUGAGCUUCCAAGCCUUGAAGAAGAUGAUGGCCUUCCCACCAACCUUCAUUCACUUCAUAUUUGGGGUAAUAUGGAGAUUUGGAAGUCAAUGAUUGAGCGGGGCCGGGGAUUUCACAGAUUCUCCUCUCUGCGAGAACUUAGAAUCGAAGGAUGUGAUGACAACAUGGUGUCAUUUCCACCAAAGGACAAAAGAUUAGGGACCGCGCUUCCUCUUCCUGCCUCUCUAACGUCUCUGCAGAUUAUGGGUUUUCCAAAUCUGGAACGCCUAUCUUCUUCAAUUGUUGAUCUUCAAAACCUCACUAAGUUGUAUUUGCGGAGUUGUCCUAAGCUCAAAUACUUUCCGGAGAAGGGCCUGCCUUCCUCACUUUUGCAAUUGUGGAUCUGGGGAUGUCCGUUGAUAGCAGAGAAGUGCAGAAAGGAUGGAGGACAAUAUUGGGACUUGUUAACCCAUAUACCUUGUGUUGUCAUAGAUGGUAAAUCCGCUUUUGGCGAUAACACAUAGGACGGUUGAAAUAUUUUAUUGUUAGUAUUUUUAAAAAAAAAAAAUUGGGCGUGUAUUAUGAGUUGGUGAUUAAUGGGUUUUCGAAAUAAAAAGAACAAUGGGCUCGCAUUAUUUAGCUAGCAAAGGAGGAGGACUCUAUUAAUUAAUUAAUUAAUUAAUUUCUUAUGCCUAUUUCAUUCUCAGCUGUUGAAACUUCAGUUUCUUAUAUUUGUCUUUUCCGCGGUUCGGUUACAUAUAUUUGUCCUUUACAUAAUUUCUUAUGUAAAAUAUUUUAUUAUUAGAAUUUUUUUUUCUUUUAAAUCAAGCGUGUUUGUGUAUGUAAUUUUAAAAUUCAAAUUUGGCUGUUGAAAUAAACUUCAGUUUCUUUUAUUUGGCUGUACGGUUACGUAUGUGUAAUAUUUCUCUUCAUCGGACUUCGGCAAAAAUUGUUAAUGUUCUUAUUAGUAAUUAAUUAGUACGUUAGUGUUCUUCUUUUGUUCCAUAAUUUAUCAAAAUCAUUUUAUUACAUAAUCUUCGUACAUGUACAUCGUCAUCAAAUUCUAUAACAACAAAAACAGAAAAUCAAAAGAAAACAAGAACAUGCCACACAAAUCAAAAACGAAAAGAACAUUAUAACACCAAGUAUUAUAUUUCUCUAAUUACAUUUCGGCUUUGGUGGCCUUAACUUAAAAUCUCCUCUAGAACAAUCUGCCUCAUUAGCAAUAAUGUUAUAAUGUUCUUUUGAUGUUGUUUUUAUCAGUUACUGAAUAUUUGAAUUCAUCAAAACUGUUAUAAUUGAAACGGAUCUUCAUAUUAAUACAUCAACAUGACAGAAAAGGGAAUAUUUUUAAUGAAUUAAUUUCUUAUUGAGUAUGAAUGCGUAAUGUAUAAUGGCUACCUCUUUCUUAGUUGUUCAAAUUAAAUUCAUUUUGCUGUACGGUUAUGUAUAACGAGAUUGAAAUUGUUUCUUCACCAGAAGUAAUGUUAUAAUGUUCUUUUAAUGGUUUAGUAAAGUGGUUUUUGAUUGCCGAUUAAGCACUUGAAGGCUGGACUGCUGCAGUACAGAAUUAUUUAUACUCUCUAAUCUGAUACACUUUAAGCAAGUUCUUGAAUUAAUUGCUUCUGUGCCAUCGCUUUUAUUAUUUGCAAAUAUUGAUCAUCAUCAGCUCCUUUUGGGAUGUUAGAGAGCUUUGUUCAGAGAGAAAGACCAUAAAAACAGAUUACAUAACUUGUCAUAUAAAAAUACUAUGUUCGCAUAUUACUCACAGUUAGCCAAGGCGCCGUCUGGUCAUAAUUGACAUAAGAGCUCAACCGUAAGUAACACAAUACACAAUCUGAAGAAUAGUUGCUUGAUCAGGAAGUCCAACUUUGUAGCUAUAAUAUGCUAUUUUCAUAAGACUUCGUUAAAGAUUGUUUUGUAAUUAAUUUCACACAACACAACCCUACAGAAAAUUGACCAAAACAAAAUGAAAUAUCAAGGCUGUAAUUAGCACUUGAUCAAAGGAAAAGAAGAAACAAAUGAAUUUGUAAGGAGUACUGCGAUACCCAUAUGAAUUUGUUUAAAGUUCUUUAUCAUAGAAAAAAUCAAUUGUAUGUCCUUCGUAUUUUCUCUAUAAAAACUUGCAUUAUAGACUGUAUGUUUGUUUUGAGAUUUACUGGAGUGAAUUGUUGUUUUUGUGAUUAUCAAAUAAUAUACUUCAGAGUUAUUUAUUUUUGUGUACAUAUAAAAUUGAAUUUAUUUUAAUGUGCACAAGAGUCAUUGGAAGGAUUUGCAUUAGGUAGAAUUUCACACGAAGAACAAGACUAAGAAAAUUUAAGGUGAUUUGCAUUUAUAAUCAGCAAACGACUCAACAUAUCAGAAUGAGAAGAACAUUGUUAUGCCGCCGGUGAACACACCAAACAGCAAGGUUUCCACACUUUUCAAGCAAGUGCAAGCUCCCAGAAUUUUAAAGAAACGAGUGAAUGGCAAGAGAGAAUAGAGAGGAAAAUUCAGAGAAGAAGAAGAAACUAAGUCCAGAACUUUUAUAUAUCCCCUCAAAUACAACCAUGGAAAUACUUAUAGCAGCAAGAAUAUGCUCACAGCUGUCAAAACUAAAUAACAACCUCUCUCUAUAACAAAAAUUAUUCUCUAAAUAGCUAAGGCCGUUAGAAACCGAGUCCUCUGCUCAUUUAUGCUCAGUGUGUGUAAUCCUUGAACCAUUUGGGAGGCUUCCUUACGCGACUUGGCUUGAUGUUAUCUUGGGGUCGGUUUUGGAUAGCCUCACUUGAGUUUGCCUGGGCCUUUUCCUCGCUAUUGAUAGAGCUAGCUGAGUUGGGCUUGUCUAACUGUAAUAUUGGGGUUGUAUCAAACAUUCAGGAAUCACCAGGCAGGACAAGAUCAAGGAGGCAACAAGGAAGCAUUUGUUUUGGCCAAAUAAAGUUUGCAGAUCUUUUAAUGCUAAGAUUAGUAAUCAAACCAUUAUUGGGAUAUUGGUUUGGCGAUGUUGAAUUAAUGGCCCUGAGCUUUAUGAUCUUUAUUACAUAUGUAUUUAUUGCAAUUACACAUAUAUGUAAUAUGUACCUUGUUGGCUUAUUUAUUUAUAUUAAUAAUUAAUAUGAUCUUUUAAAACUUAGCCAAAGUUGUUGAACAUAAAAACACUCAAGUAUUCAGUGUUCUUGAUUAAAUUAUCAUCAAUAGACAUAAUUAAAAAAAGAAAAUCCGAUUAUUACAAUGAUUGGAUUAGUUGGCUACAUUAGUGUUAUUGUCUAAUUAUCAAGGAUAACAUUCAAUUAUAUAUAACAUGUCCUUCACAUUUUCUCUUUUAAUUAAAAUUGUAACAAGACUUGCAAUUUAGACCAUGUAUUCGUUAUGUUGUUUAUUGGAGUGAAUUGAUGUUUUUGUUGUGCUUGUCAGGGAUUGUCUUUGUAAGUUAUUUAUUUUGUAUAUAUGAAAUCAAUGGGGGUUUCACUCUUAUGGAUGGAUGUUGUCGGGUACCAAGAAGUAAGAACUGAUAGUCGUGUUAAUUAAUUAGUAUAAAUUAGCUGAAUGUUCAAUGUUCAUGCUCUUUUGAGCUAGAUAUGGCAAUGAAAAUUGAGUUUCUGUGAUGUAAAAUAUGAAGCUAUUCAAUCAAGCAACUCUGCUUUUCAAUUUUCUUACAUCUAAGUCAAGUAGCACUUAUUUAUAAAUCCUCGAGAGCACAAACCUAAUCCAGGUUCAUACUUAUUAAAUUUGACAACAGACAAUGAAGUGUAAAAAGUGAAAUUCUUAUCUAUGAUAAGCACCUAAAUAAUUGCAUUGAGUUUUUCCAUUUUCAAAUUUUCAUUGCUAAUUCAACAAUUGAGAGACUCAAACAUAUGGAAUAAGAAAUUAACAUAUUCAACCCAAAAGGUUAUUCAACUUAGAUGAUUCAAUAUAACACUUAAUAAGCUUAUGAGUCUCAUUUAAGGAAUAUUAUAAUUUUACUUGGAUUGCUAGAAAUCACGGAAUGUUAUUCAUUUAAGUAUGUGAUACACUUGUUUGAUGAAUUGCUUAUAUGAGUAGAUUAUAUUUUUAUUUUGGUCAUAUUUCUUAUUUUUCUAAUCCCAUCUGUGAUCUGUCCCCUAUUUCCCAUCCCACAUCAAAUGGUGAUAUAGCUUCCCUAUCAUAUGUCGAACCCAUUAAAGCCAAAAGUAAGAAGUUAAAGAACUAUUUUGUACUGGCUAUACAAAGAACUAUAUUACAGUACUACACACCCACCCAAAAAAAUUAAAAAAAUAAAAUGAAGGCACCAUUCAUACUUCCAAAUCCAGCACUAGCACUUGAAAACAAUAGAAACAAAGGAAUUUGCCAAUAAAAAAAGUCAGCUGGAGAAAGCCAAUAACAAACCCAACGACAAUUGAACCAAUAUAAAUUUAAGAGUAAUGAUAUAUUGAUUUUCUGCAGUUUACCUUUUUUUUCAUUAUGUUAAAGUUCCAUUAUUUUUAUUGCUAUUCUCUAUGUUUACCAUUCCGCAUAAAUAUAUAUCCCCAAUAUAUUAGUUAUCACUUCUUAGAAAUUUUUGUAAUUAAUAUCAAUAUUCAAUCAUUUAGAAAAACCUGAUUAUUAAUGAUUAGUUUAUCUCUGAAUUAAAACUAGACACAUGUAAAUAUGUGAACUCGAAUUAAAUGUUGAUAUACUUGUAAUAUAUAUGAGUCGUAUCUAAAAAAGCAAGUUCUAAUUUCUACUUCCAUCUUUUAAAUGCCAGGUCGAUGCACAUUAUCUAUGCAUGCAUGUACUGAAUAGGGAAGUAACACAUAAAGAUGGAUUCUUUUUGCUGGACACUGAUUUUUAUUUGUCAUUUUUUCCAAUUGUUCAAUGAUGCUUGCUCCACCCAUGUCCAGUUAGUCAAGCAGACAAGCACAAGCGCGUGAAGCUUGCUAAAUUAUUGAUGCAUAAAGUGGAAGCAAAAGCCAGAGGCAGCCCCCACCGCCACCGAUAAUUUUUUGUUUAAUGUUAUUUCGUGUAUAUCAUUUAUAACAUAUUAAUCGACUUAUUAUUUUAUUAAGUAUAUAUAUAUAUAUAAUAAAUGAGUCGAAUUUAUGUUCAGCUAAAAUUUUGUUAUAUUUCACACGACAGUAAAUAGUUGUCAAAAAAUUAUGGUGUCCUUUUAAGUCUUUGUCUUAGCAUUGAAAUUAAUUCAAUAAAUGAAGUAAUUAUAUGGCAAAAGGAGAGAGAGACAGAAACGUUGUGAUUUAACUUGGUUUAUAAGUUUGAAGAUUUGUAAAGCGAAGGUUCGUAGUAGAUGCAUUCCAUUUUCUUCUUUAUUCAGCAUUUACCCGGACGCUGGAUUAAUGUUGUUGACCCUACAAAUAUCAAAGUCCGAUUUUAUAUUUAUUUAUUUAUUUUUUUAUAUACGAUUUUAUAUUUAUUGAUUCUAGUAACUAGUGGUGGUCACUGGGGAUUGGUGACUUGCUAAACUAUUAAUGGGAGGUGGGCUCUCCUUUUGUUUUCACUUUCCUGGAAUAAACAAGUGGAAGACUUGUUACAUGCACUUUGCUUGACUCUCCAUGCUUACUGUUUUAUUUUCUGAUUUUGUUUCCCAAAACUCAAAGUUCUGUUUCUUUCUUUGCGCCAAAAAGAAAAAAAAAAUGUCAAUCAUCGGAGAGGCAAUCCUUACGGCGUCCGUUGAUUUGCUGGUCAAUAAGUUAGCUUCAGAGGGGAUUCGGUUGUUUGCACGCCAAGAGCAAAUCCAGGCCGACCUAAAGAAGUGGAAGAAUAUGUUGGUGAUGAUCAAGGCGGUGCUUGCUGAUGCUGAGGAGAAGAGGACGACUGAUGCACCACUUUUACUCCACAAUCGAUCCAGUUGUUGCACCACUUUUACUCCACAAUCGAUCCAGUUCGAUUAUGCCUUGAUGUCCAAAAUAGAAGAGAUCAACGGCAGAUUUCAAGAUAUUGAAACACAGAAAGACUCGCUGGGUUUGAACGUAAGUUCAGCUGGGAGGUCCAAAAAAGACAGGCAAAGACUACCCACAACCUCUUUGGUGAAUGAAGCCAAGGUAUAUGGCAGGGAAACAGAAAAGAAGGAAAUUGUUGAAUUGUUGUUGAGGGAUGAUUUAAGAAAUGAUGGUGAAUUCUCUGUUAUUCCUAUCAUAGGUAUGGGCGGGCUGGGCAAAACCACUCUUGCUCAGCUUGUCUAUAAUGAAGAUCGAGUGCAGGGUCAUUUUGAUCUCAAGGCAUGGACUUGCGUCUCUGAUGAUUUUGAUGUUAUCAGGCUUACAAAAUCAAUCCUACUUUCAAUUGCUAGUGACCAGAAUGUGGAUAAUGACGACUUGAAUAAGCUUCAAGAGAAAUUGAAGAAACAACUAUUUGGAAAGAAAUUUUUGCUUGUUUUAGAUGACGUUUGGAAUGAGAAUUACAAUGAUUGGGUUGACAUAUGCCGUCCGUUUGAAGCUGGCGCACCGGGAAGUAAGAUUAUUGUCACAACCCGUAAUCAAGAGGUUGCAGCCAUCAUGGGGACUGCUCCAGCUUAUCAAUUGGAAAAGUUGUCAUUUGAUGAUUGUUUGUCCGUGUUCGCUCAACACUCUUUGGGGACAACAGAUUUCAGUUCAAAUAAGGCAUUGGAGGAAAUUGGCAAGAAGAUAGUGAUCAAAUGCAACGGCUUGCCCUUGGCUGCGAAAACUCUUGGUGGACUCUUACGUGGUAAAUGUGACCGAAGUGAUUGGGAAGAUGUGCUCAGUUGCAAGAUAUGGAAUUUACCAGAGGAGAGAUGUGACAUUAUACCGGCGCUUAGAGUGAGCUACUAUUAUCUUUCGGCACCUUUGAAACAGUGCUUUGCAUACUGCUCAUUGUUUCCAAAGGAUUAUGAAUUUGAAGAGGAGGAGAUAAUUUUGUUAUGGUGUGCUUCGGGUUUCUUGGAUCACGGAGAGGGAGGGAAUCCUAGUGAAGAUCUAGGUAGAAAGUUCUUUCAAGAGCUACGUUCAAGAUCUUUUUUCCAGCAAUCAAGCAACGAUGCAUCACGAUUUGUGAUGCACGAUCUUAUCAACGACCUUGCCCAUUGGGCUGCGGGGGAGAUAUACUUCACAAUGGAGUAUACCUCGGAGGUUAACAAGCAACAGAGUUUUUCCAAUAAUCUUCGUCAUCUAUCGUACAUUCGUGGAGAAUAUGAUGGCGUUAAACGGUUUGAGGGCUUGUACGAUAUCCAACAUUUGCGAACUUUUUUACCAGUAAAGCUGUCAAAUAGUUUGGAUGGAUACUUGGCUCAUAGCAUUCUUCCUAAGUUGUUCAAACUCCAACGCUUGAGGGUCUUCUCCUUGUUUGGAUACCGCAUCUCUGAGCUACCAAAUUCAGUAGGUGAUUUGAGGUAUUUAAAGUACCUUAACCUAUCUGGAACUGAAAUUAGAACUCUGCCUGAAUCAGUGAACAAGCUUUACAAUUUGCACACACUUUUGUUGGAGGGCUGUCGGGAACUGAAGAAGUUGUGUGCAGAAAUGGGAAGCCUCAUCAAAUUGCAUCAUCUUAAAAAUUCAAAUACAGAUUCCUUGGAGGAAAUGCCACUAGGAAUUGGUAAUUUGACUUGUCUUCAGACGUUGUGUAAUUUUGUUGUGGCAAAAGACAGUGGUUCCGGGUUAAGAGAGCUGAAGUCGUUGACGCAUCUUAAGAGGACACUUAAAAUUUCAAAAUUGGAGAAUGUAAAAUGCGUUGGUGAUGCCAUGGAGGCUCAAAUGGAUGGAAAGAAGAAUCUGAAAGAAUUAUCGCUUAAUUGGACUUGCAGUACCGAUGGUUCAUCGUCAAGGGAGGCAGAAACUGAAAUGGGCGUGCUUGACAUGCUAAAACCUCAUACAAAUCUGGAGCAAUUUUGUAUCAAAGGCUAUGGAGGUAUGAAAUUUCCAACUUGGUUGGGAGAUUCCUCAUUCUCAAAUUUGGUGACCCUAAAAUUUGAAAAUUGUGACAUGUGUACUGCCCUGCCGUCAGUCGGCCAACUACCCUCUCUAAAGCAUCUUGCAGUAUGUGGAAUGAGCAGAGUAAAGAGGCUGGGUUCAGAGUUCUAUGGGAAUGAUCCUCCAAUUCCUUUUCUAUGCUUGGAGACUCUUCGUUUUGAAGACAUGCAAGAAUGGGAAGACUGGAUUCCCCAUGGAUCCAGUCAAGGAGUUGUUGAAGGGUUUCCUAAAUUGAGAGAGCUUCACAUUUUAAGAUGUUCUAAAUUGAAAGGAACAUUUCCAGAGCACCUUCCUGCAUUGGAGAUGCUUGUUAUUGAAGGAUGUGAAGAAUUGUCAGUUUCGAGUCUUCCAGCUCUUUGCAAAUUACAGAUUGGUGGAUGUAAAAAGGUUGUGUGGGAAAGUGCAACUGGUCAUCUCAGAUCUCAGAAUUCAGUGGUUUGUAGAGAUGCAUCAAAUCAAGUGUUUCUCGCAGGGCCAUUAAAGCCGCAACUGCCAAAAUUGGAAGAAUUGGAGAUAAAUGAUAUGAAAGAGCAUACAUAUAUAUGGAAGAGUCAUGACGGAUUACUACAAGACAUUUGCUCUCUCAAAAGAUUGACGAUUGACAGCUGUCCCAAACUUCAAUCCUUGGUGGCGGAGGAAGAGAAAGACCAACAACAGCAGCUCUGCGAGUUGUCAUGCAGACUCGAAUAUCUAGGAUUGAGCGACUGCCAAGGCCUUGUGAAGCUGCCACAAUCAUCGCUCAGCCUGAGUUCCUUGAGAGAGAUAGAAAUCUGCGGUUGUCAUUCCCUUAUUUCCUUUCCUGAGGUUGCUCUGCCUUCCAAGUUGAAGAAAAUUGAGAUUAGCAAAUGUGAUGCACUGAAAUCGUUACCAGAGGCAUGGAUGUACGACUCCAAUUCAUCUCUCGAGGACAUGAGUAUUAGGAAGUGCUAUUCGUUGACAUAUAUUGCUGGAGUCCAGCUACCACUGAGCCUUAAGAGGUUGGACAUCCUUAAUUGCGAUAAUAUAAGGACUUUGACAGUGGAAGAGGGCAUCCAGUGUAGCAAUAGCAGCAGCAGCAGCAGAAGGUAUGCCUCAUCUCUUCUUGAGGACUUAACAAUUUACAGGUGUCCAUCUCUGACGUGUAUAUUUUCAAAAAACGAGUUACCUGCCACGCUGGAGUCCCUUGAAGUUGGCAAUCUACCUCCGUCUCUUAAGAGCCUUAAUGUUUGGAGUUGUUCAAAGCUGGAGUCAAUAGCAGAAAGGUUGGACAACAACACAUCUCUUGAAAAAAUCAGUAUAGAGAGGUGUGGAAAUCUGAAAAAUUUACCGAGUGGUUUACAUAAUCUCCGAGAGCUUCAAAAGAUUGAGAUAGGCGAAUGUGGAAAUCUGGUGUCCUUUCCCGAAGGGGGAUUGCCUUGUGCGAAACUCACGAGGCUGCAGAUAUCUGAUUGUGAGAGACUAGAGGCCUUACCCGAGGCAUUGCACAAUCUGAGCUCUCUUGAAGACUUAAAAAUAGGAGGUGAGCUUCCAAGCCUUGAAGAAGAUGGCCUUCCCACCAACCUUCAUUUUCUGAAGAUUGAGCGUAAUAUGGAGAUUUGGAAGUCAAUGAUUGAGCGGGGCCGGGGAUUCCGCAGAUUCUCCUCUCUGCGAGGACUUAAAAUCAUCGGAUGCGAUGACGACAUGGUGUCAUUCCCACCGGAGGACAUAAGAUUAGGGACCACGCUUCCUCUUCCUGCCUCUCUAACAUAUCUGAAGAUUGAUAAUUUUCCAAAUCUGGAACGCCUAUCUUCUUUAAUUGUUGAUCUUCAAAACCUCACUCAUUUGUAUCUCUAUGAUUGUCCCAAGCUCAAAUACUUUCCGGAAAAGGGCCUGCCUUCCUCACUUUUGCUAUUAAUUAUCUGGAAAUGUCCGUUGAUAGAAGAGAAGUGCAGAAAGGAUGGAGGACAAUAUUGGGACUUGUUAACCCAUAUACCGCGUGUUGUUAUAGAUGGUAAAUCCGCUUUUGGCGAUAACACAUAGGACGGCUGAAAUAUUUUAUUGUCAGUAUUUUUUUUUUUAAUUGUGCGUGUAUGUGUUGGUGAUUAAUGGGUUUUCGAAAUAAAAAGAACAAUGGGCUCGCAUUAUUUAGCAAAGGAGGAGGACUCUAUUAAUUAAUUAAUUAAUUAAUUAAUUAAUUUCUUAUGCCUAUCUCAUUCUCAGCGGUUGAAACUUCAAUUUCUUAUAUUUGUUCUUCUGCUGUAUGGUUACAUAUGUAAAAUAUUUUAUUAUUAAAUUUUUUUUCUUUAAAAUCAGGUGUGUUUGUGUGUAAUUUUAAAAUUCAAAUCUCAGUUGAAAACUGUUUUAAAUUAAUAAAAAGAAAAAUGUUAAGUACAUUAAGGGGCUCGCAUUAUUUUAGCAGCGGGGGACUGUAUUAAUUAAUUAAUUAAUGGAUUAAUUUCUUAUGCGUAUCUCAUGCUUAGCUGCUAGAAAUAAACUUCAGUUUCUUUUACUUAGCUGUGCGGUUACAUAUGUAUAAUAUUUCUCUUCAUCAGACUUCGGCAAAAAUUGUUACUGUUCUUAUUAGUAAUUAAUUAGUAUCUUUAUCGAAAGAAUUACCAGACUCUUCAUCAAUGUUAAUAAUCUUAGGCUGCCUCUUCUUCUCUUUAGCAAGCUUUGGCAUUGUGAUCCUUAGAACACCAUUUUCCAAAUGAGCCUUAACAUGUUCCAAGUCAACACUCAUUGGCAUCCUAAACUGCCUCCAAAACUUGCCAAAUGUCCUCUCAGCUCUGUGCCAUUUCUCCCCUUCCAGUCCCUCCUUAUAAUAAUCAUCACUCUUCCUCUCCCCACUCACUCUCAAUACUCGGUUCUCUUCAACUUCAAUCUUCACAUUAUCUUUCUUCAUCACUGGAAUGUCGAGCGUGAUCACGUGUGUUGUUGGUGUCUCCAUCCAGUCUGCACUCGCCGGGGCUAGAGUUUGAUGAUGAUCAGCUCCUUUUGCGAUUGUUAAAGGGGUUUGUUCAAGAACCUUGAAAGACUCUUCCGCCAUUGGUAACAUCAUGUCAAAGAAAGGUGAUCGUGUGUACGGCAUCAGAGCGUUUGCUUGUAAUGCCAUGUUCAUCAAUGUUGCUGCCACAACAAGAAACAGCAUUGUCAUUGCAAGAAUUCUUGAUUUUGCCAUCUGGGUAGCUAGCUAGCUUUUUGAAAGUGUUUGUUUGAAGCUAAGUGUUUGUUGAUUUUCUAAUGAAAUGGAGGGAGGUGAAUUAAAGAAAUAUAUACAAUUAGACUGGAUUAUAGCUCGAUAUCUGGAUAGUUCUUUAGAAAUCUUUGCGAAAGAAACUUAGAGAAAAUUCUAGCACAUCGUAGAGCCUAAAAGAAACAUUUUGCAGAUUGUUUUGGAGAUCGAAAUUCUUUUGAUUUGGGAAUUUUAGUUGGAAGCUUUGCUGUAAUUAGAAUAUGACACAUGUUACUUAAAAUAGUUUUGUAUUAAUAUUGAACCAAUAACUCGUAACUUAUUAUAAAACACAAUUUCAUGAUUAUUGUAUAAAUCUACAGUGGAAUUGUCAAAUGAAAGCGCAAUUGGGAAAUAAUUUGUCUCAAUUCACAUGGGAGACAACACUAAUCAGUGUUGUCAUAUAUUAUAAUCUCAAAACGUCACGAUUGUUGCUACCCGGUAAAAACCAGUUCAAUUUGAUUUUCGAUUUAUUCACGACAACUAAGGCGUGAUGGGUAUCAUCAUCAGGCAAUAGAAAUAAAUCAUGACAAAUGACAAUACGACUUUUUAGUUGGCUACGUGUACGAUGCUUUUGAAUUUAGCUAUGCAAUCCAAAGCUCGUUCAAAUUCGCUUUCUUCCAGCGCAAUUGUGAAGCGACAAUAGCCAGGAAUUCCGGUCCACGAGCCACUGUUGAUGCACAAACCAGUUGCCUUGACUAUGGCUUCCCUGAUAUUUGAGUCAUCAAGCUUGAUUUGUUCUGUAGCAGUUUUCUCACCACUGCCAGAUGAAUGCCGGCUGAUCUUUACAGUUUUGUUGAGAUAGGCAGAGGGCUUCGCCACCAUUGAAACACCACCACAGGAUUGAACCACUUCCCACCCACAAUUCUCAAGUGCCUGUUGCAGAAAGAUCACCAUGGAGAAAAUGGUAGGCCAUAUAUUUGGAAUUGAGUAAUAUAAUUCAAAGAUUAUAUACUACAUGUAAUUGGUUAAUUCAAAUUUUCUUGUAAGAGGGCAGAUAGAAGUACCUCUUUCAAGCGCUUUGAUCUACUUUCCAAGUUUCUUACAUGUUCUGCAACAGCAUUCAUCAAGUCUCUUGCUCUUUGCCCUCACAGACCAAGCAACUUCUUUAUAGCGUAUCUGACUGUGCUAUGAGGCUUGCUUAAUCCCGGAAAGCUACUAAAUGCAUCAACCAACUGAGGAUGAUUUAGAACCAGAAACCCAAAUUUGAGUGCUCCAGUCAGCAUCUUCGGAGACAGCCCUCCGAGCAGCGACACAUUGAAAGACGAAUUGGUGGAAGAAUACAGCUUUGACAAACAGCCUUCCAAAUCCCAGCCACCCCAACCCUCGUAGUUGAAUUCCAAUCCUGAGAAUGCAAUAUCAAUCACAACUCUUGCCCCAUAUUUUGCACAAACAGUUAAUAUAUUCUCUAUCUCUUUGUUGCUAUAAAGCAAGCCAGUUGGAUUGAUUGUUGGACCAGAAAUGUACACCCACGGCUUCUUCACGGUCUCAAGUAUCGUCACAAGUGUCUUCUCUGUCAUCUUAAAGCCCACUUCAGACUCAGUUGGAAUAUUCACAAUGUUCGCUUUCAAAAAUCUGGCAGCAGAAACAUAGUUCCCAUUUGAGCCAGCUGGGAAGCAUAAUGUUCCACCUUCUAGGAUACAACAGAGGACUAGCUUAUUAAACAGAGAUUGAGAGCAAUCUGCAUAUAUGAAUUCUGCAUUGAUAUCAAUUGGAAAACCAAAAUUGCUCUUGAUAUACUGUUGGAUGCUGGGGGUGACAUCAAUUUCUGACUCAGACAUGUUUUGUCUUGCGAAACUUUCAAAGAUAGCAGCUUUGACCAGAGAUGGUACGGGCAAGAAGCUUUGGUCUACAUCCAUAUGAAUCAGGCCAGAGUUUGGUGUCUCAGUAAUUGACAGUUCAGCACUGUUGAGGACAGAGAUGGCUGAUCUAGAAAACCCGAUCAUCUCAGUUGAUUUGGCCUUUUCGCAAUCCCUCUGAACAACAUUUAUCAAAUAGCAACUUCAUGAGCUAACUUGCUUCAAUGAAUAAAAACAAAUAGCAGAAAAUGCCAAUGUAGCAGCUAAAAGUGCCAUGAAAUGAACUACAGAGAAAUAUUAAGAAAAAUCAGAGGUUGGAUAAACAUAUGCCAAGUGAAUCAACAAAAAAAUCCAGGUGGAAAAAGAAUCCAGGUUAUUAUAGUCCUUGCAUGAUACUGCAGUACUAAUGUUGCUUCUGAUUUUUGUAACAUAAAUAUCAACUAUCUGAUUAUCUCAUGCUCAAAUGGAAGAGUGAUUAACAUUGGAUAUACUCAUAAAAACAUGAAUAUUCAUGUGCUUCUGUACCUAAAUACAUAUAUUCAAAAAUGGAUUCUGUGAUAUGAAAACAGCGAAAAAAGAGAGAAGGAUAACCUCUUUAUGUGUACGUCGCUGAGCAAGCUGGAAAGCCAGAAGCUCAUGAAAAAGACAACCAUAGUAGUUUUGACUAAUCAGUGCAGUAGUCCCUUCUAGUACUUCCACAGUCUUAGACAAGCCCUUAAAGAUGGCCUCUGCUUCUGAGAUUACAAAAGCAACUUCUAAAUCUGAAUAAACCUGCAAAGAUGAAUUUGGCUUCCAUAAAUAAGAACAAAAAGUUAACAGAAAACCACUGAGAACAAAUCUUGAAACCCAUCUUAUGGCUUGAUCAGAAAAACAGAAAUCUCUUCUUGUAAUAGCAUAACAGUAAAGUGGCCAGUAUAAUGAAAAACAAUCACCUGAUUUUUAACAAGGCCACAAAUAACUGCCGCAUGUGAAGGAAGAACAUUUCCAGCAAGAUAUUUAAGGACCCCAUUGGAACUUGGGAGGCUGGAGAGCUCAAAGUGAUCAGAUAUAUCCAAGAAAAGACGAGAUCCAACUUCUCUUGUAACAUCUAGAAGAUGCACAAAGGCUGAACUGGUAACAGCCUCAAAAUCACCAAUCCCAGAAAUUACCACCUGAGGCUUCAGCUUCUUUAUCAGCUCCACCAUCUCUCUUAUUGGUAUAAGGGUUUCAGCUAAUAAUUUCACUAGCUUUGUGUUGAAUGUUCCCAUUAUCUAGGUAAGAUUUUAAUUAUUUGGGUUAAGUAUCAAAUUAUUUUGUAGUGUUUAAUUUUUAGUUGGAUUUGUAUCAAAUUUUGGUUAAACUUUCUCAAUUUAAGGAUAAUAUAUUUUAACUUUUCAAUCCAUUAGUUUUGUGUUUAUUAUUCCUGCUAAAAUUGUUAAAAAUCAAUAUUUUUGGUUAAAUUCUAAGUAAAUUUUAUUUCUCGUCAGAAUAGUUCCUUAUUUUAGUUAAACUUUCUCCAUUAUGGGUUCAUAUAUUUCAACUAAUAAUUCCAGUGAUUUUGUGUUGAAUCUUCCUAUUAUCGAGGUAAGAUUUCAAUAAUUUGAGUUAGAUACCGAUUUUACUUUGUAAAAUUUUAUUUUUGGUUCUAAUGGUUCCUGAUUUGGUUAAUCUUUCUCAAUUAUAGCCUUAUAUGUUCAACUUUUCAAUCCACUAGUUUUGUGUUUAGUAUUCCUACUAAAAUCGUUAAAUACCAAUAUUUGGGUUAAAUUCCAAGUAUAUAUUAUUUCUCAUUGGAUAAUUUUCCUGAUUUUGGUUAAAUUUUCUCUCAUAUAGGUUCAUUUAUUUCAACUAAUAAUUCAACUAGUUUUAUGUUGAGUGUUCCUAUUAUCUAGUUAAGAUUCUAAUAAUUUGGGUUAAAUAUUAAAUAUACUUUGUAAGAUUUUAUUUUUGGUUGGACUAAUCCCUAAUUUUGGUUAAUCUUUCUCAAUUAUAGGUUAAUAUAUUUCAACUUUUCAAUCCAUGAGUUUUGUGUUUAAUAUUUCUAUUAAAUUCGUUAAGUAACAAUGUUUUGGGUUAAAUUAUAAGUAAAUUUCAUUUCUCGUUGGACUAAUCCCUACUUUUGGUUAAACUUUCUCCUUUAUUGGUACAUGAGUUUCAACUAAUAAUUCACUAGUAUUGUGUUGAAUAUUCCGAUUAUUUAUGUAAGAUUUUAAUAAAUUGGGUUAGAUACCAAAUUUUCUUUUUAGAUUUUAUAUAUAGUUAGAUAAGUUCCAUAUUUUGGUUAAAUUUUCUCACUUAUGGGUUCAAUUACUUCAAUUAAUUAGUUCACUACUUUUGUGUUUCAAGUUCUCAGUGCCUACGUUAUGUUUCAACAUUAUUGGUUAAAUUCCAAGCUGAUAUUAUAAAAUUCAAAGGUACCUUUAUUACGAAAAGCAAAUAAUAUUAUUAAGGUGAAUCUCAUUUUACUCCUCUUAUUUCAGUAAAUAUCAACCUACAACAAUAUAUUAAAAUUUCACUAUUGUAACCCCUAUUCAAUUUUCUAUAAACUACAAUCAAUAUUGUAAGUUAAAAGAUUAGGAACUUACCUAAUCUAAUUAUGUUGGAACAUUUUGUUUUUCUUUUUAAUCUUCUUGACUUCAUGAGAUUUCUUAAACUCAACUUAUUUAUACUUGAGCUUUUGAUCAUUAUAGAUAUGCCUAUUUUAUUAAUUCAAAUUAAUUGUACUCAUUUUCUUUCCAAAAUAAAUUCUUUGAUAUCUCAUCACUUCAACCAAAAUUUCAUUUUUAACAAUUGCAUAUGCAAUUUGUACAGCUCAAAUUUUUAUUUUUCAAAUGUUUAAGAUAAAACAAAUUAUUUAUUUAUUAAUUUAUUAUAUGAUUAUCACAGGAAUAGUGAAAAUUAAUUUUUAUAUUGAAAUUUUAAGAUUUGCAAAUUAGCAUUUACUUUGAAUCCAAUUCAACUAAGUCACUAUUUAUUUAUCUUUAAUUAAUGCUUUAAGCGCAGUAAAUGCAUUUCAAAUUAAACAAUUUGUAUAAAAAAACACAUUAGGAAAUUAAUGCAAUCAAGAAAAAAGAAAAUAUAUUAAAACAUUAAUUUUGCUUCCUCAAUUAAGUAUUAAAAGAAAAAUUUUCUCUUACAGAUAAAUUCAACCUUAUAAUUUAACAAUAAUGUUGACUACAAUUUUAAAACUAUUUAUUUAUUGCUCCAAAUUGCAAUAGUUUUUUAUGAGUCAUAAAAAUUAAAUUUAUUUAACAUUAUACCUAUAUAGUUGGAUACGUAAUUUAUACCUUAAUUGAUGUUGCCUUAUUUUCAAUUAUUAUAUUUUAGUGAUAGUUUAUUUCAUUGUAUACUAAUAGUGUUAUAAAUUUGUAAUAAUUGCUUAUACAUCAUAUUUUUCAUUGAUUACUACUCGAAUUAUAUAAUAUCUAUUUUAUAAGUGAGUAUUACUCAAAUUAAUAUAUUAUACUUUAAAAUUUUAAUUAUUAUACUUAAAUCAUAUAAUCACAUAUGCAAUUAAGCGUAAAUAAUGAAAAGGUCACUUCCCAAGGUUUGGGAAAAUGAUUAUGUAGAUCCCUGAGUUUUCACUAAGAGACACUAAAACCCCUUUUAACUAUAAUGCUUUUUCACUUUAUUAAUUCAAAAAAAUUGACUCUAAAGUUUUAUAAUAAGUAGAAAUAUAAUAUUAAAAUAAAUGUAACAAUAUAUACAUUUUAAAAUAAUUAAUAUAUAAAAAAUAUUUUAGUACUUUACAAUCUUAUAUUAUAGUAAACUAAAUUUUUUUAAUAAAUAGGAACAUAAUAUUAAAAUAAAUAUUUAAAAAUUUAAAUUAUUUUCAAUAUUGUAUACAAAAUUUGAAUACUAUUAAUACAUGAGAUAUAUUUUAUUAAUUAUAAAAUCUAUUUAACCUAAAGAUUUAUUUAAAAUUUUUCUAACAAAUACAAAUAUAUAAUUAAAAUAAAUAUCAUAAUUUACAUUUUAAAAAUUAUUUUAUAUAUUAAAAAUAUUUUAAUAUUAUUAAUUUAUUAGACAAAUUAAACUAUUUAAAUUAUAUUUGUACUUAUUAAAAAUCUAAAAGUCAAUUUUUUGAAUCAAUAAAUCCAAAUUGUAUUAUAGUCAAAGGGGUCUUAGGGUCCCUCGGUGAAAACAUGGGGUUUUAUAUGAUCAUUUUUCCAAAUCUCGGGGGUGUAGGUAUCUUUUUCCCUAAAUUAUUUAAUUAUCAGUGUUGCACUAAAAUUAUAGUUUUCUAGUUACAUUGUUAAUUUAGUUAAGGGUACAAUACAAUGUCAAUAACAAUUAUUGUAAUAAUACCUAAAAAAUUAUGCUUGAUAUUAUUAAAAAAUUAAUUUUUAACAAAUUGUACCUUGUUGACUUGAUUGAGUGGUUUUCAAGUGGGGUUAAAAAAUAAAAUCAAAUUAUACACACUUUAGAAAAAUACAUUCAAUUGGACUAUAUAUAUACACAUUAUUAAAACUUUUAUUAUUAUAGAAAAUAAAAUCAUAUAGACUAUACAAGACAUUUCAUUAAAAAUAUAUAAUAUCGUAAAAAAUAUCAUAAGCUGAAUUUAGUUUAAUCAUAAUAAUAAUUACUAUAAUGACAGUUAUUAACAAUAUAAAAAAAAUAAAGAUUAUCCUUUGUUGUUUAGGAAAACGAAAAACCCUCUCAUGUUUUAAAAUAAGUUCAAAUUCUCCUGCAACUCUAACUGUGUUAGCUUUAUAUAUCAUUGUACUAUUUGACACAUAGUUUUGAUGUUAGCCAUAAAAUUUAAAUAUUUUUAGAGUAUAAAUAAAGUGAAAUGACUUAUAUAACCCUAAUGAUUAAAUAAAUUUAAUAAUAAAUUAUCGAGAAAAAUUACUUCACACACACACACACACACACACACACACACACACACAUAUUGUGGAUAUAUAUAACCAAAUGUUAUUCCAAUUUAAAUGGAUAAUUUACAACUAUUAGGGAUAUUUUCCCCACUUGUAAUUUUUCUCUAUAAUUUACAAUUUAUUAUAAAAUAAAAUUUGAUCAUUAAGGAUAUAUAAGUUAUUUUACUUAAUUUGUAUUUUCAAAAUAUUUAAAUUUUAUAGCUAACAGUAAGAUUAGGGGUAGAAUAGUAAAAUGAUAUAUAAAGCUAACAUUAUUAUAACUUGGGGGGGAGGAGUAGGAGGUAAUUCUCAUUUUCUCUUAACUAUCAUUAAUGAUAGUACUAGUAAUAACUCAAGAUCAAAUAUGUUACAUGCGAUAAUUUAAUAAUGUAGCAAAAUAAAAAAAUUAAACAAAGUAUGCAAUAAUUUAAUUAAUUUGUGAUAAAUUUGUAUGAAGUAAUUUGUGUAAGAGAAACUUUGUGAGUAUAAUCCAAAUAUCAAAUAUAUGGUACAUUAUAUAUGCCUUGUAUACAGUACAAAUUUAAACCAUUAAUAUUAGUCACUAUUCAACUAAUAUUGAGAAUAACAAUAUUUGAUGAUUAAUAAGGAUAUUUGGUACUAUGAAUAAUUAUAAUUAUUUGAAAACUAUCCAAUAGUUAAAUGGAAAAUAAGAAAAAAAUAUACUUAGUUUACACUAAUAUAAAUAUUAUUCUCACUAAUAUAGACAUUACAUGUUUCAAAGUAAUUUUUUCAGCCAUAAGAAAAUGCAAAUUUUUCAUGCUGAGGAGGGUGUCUUUGAAAUUUUCCUAAUUUAAAUUGAUAAUUUUGAUAUUUAGAUAAAAUUGGUUGUAGCUAUGUGAUAAUUGCUACUGAUAUUUGCCAGCUCCCACUUCCAAUUCUUUCGUUCGGUAGCAGGUUUCAUGCGUAAAAAAUAAAAGCCGUUGGAUUGCUUUUAUAAGCAAUCCAACGGGGAAUAGGUUUCAAAAUAAAAAAUAAAAACGGCUGUAUGGCAUGCAGUGGCUGUAUUAUAAGCGGACCCAUUACUCACAGUUAGCCAAGGCGCCGUCCGGUCAUAAUUGACAUAGGGUGCGUUUGGGAUUGAGGUUGGGCAGCUGUAGCUUAAAAGUUACAGCACUAAAGUGUUUGGUAAACACUAACUGCUGUAGCUUUUAAGCUAUGUUGAUAUAAUUUUUCACUUGUAUAAUAUAAAAUUUAUUAUAUCUUUAAUAAUUUUGAUAAAAUUAUUAUUUAAAAUUUAUAUUUACUAUAUAUUAUUAACUUUUAUUUUAUAAUUACAGUUUUUUUUUCACAGCAGCUGUAGCUUAAAAGCUACAGCACCUCAAUCCCAAACGCACCCAAAAGAGCUCACCGGUAACACAAUACACAAUAUGAAGAAUAGUUGCUUGAUCAGGAAGUCCAACUUUGUAGCUAUAAUUUUUUUUUUUUUGAGAAGUGUAGCUAUAAUAUGCUAUUUUCAUAAGACUUCGUUAAAGAUUAUUUUGUAAUUAAUUUCACACAACACAACCCUACAGAAAAUUGACCAAAACAAAAUGAAAUAUCAACGCUGUAAUUAGCACUUGAUGAAAGGAAAAGAAGAAACAAAUUAAUUUGUAAGGAGUACUGCGAUACGUAUAUGAAUUUGUUUAGAGUUCUUUAUCAUAGAAAAAAUCAAUUGUACGUCCUUCGUAUUUUCUCUAUAAAAACUUGCAAUAUAGACCAUGUGUUUGUUAUGAUAUUUACUAGAGUGAAUUGUUGUUUUUGUGAUUAUCAAAUAAUAUACUUCAGAGUUAUUUAUUUUUAUGUACAUAUAAAAUUGAAUUUAUUUGAAUGUGCACAAGAGUCAUUGGAAGGAUUUGCUCAUUAAUGGUUGGUUUGUCAAGUAAACUGACCAGACAAUUUAUCAAAAGCACUUUAUUACAUCAUCUUCAUAAGUGCACUGAUGUAGACUAUCCCUGAAUCCCAUAACAACAAAAACAGAAAAUCAAAAGAGAAACAGUAUCCCAGAAUGCCAAAAAAAUAUCAGAAACAAAAAUCAAACAAAGCAAUUCAAAAGCAUUUGCUUGUGAUGCCAUGACCAAGAAUGCUACUACCAUAACAAGAAAUGGCAUUGCAAGACUAUAGAAUGCCACAUGUGCGAAUGAGAAGAACAUUACAAAUCAACAAUUCAAAGAAAAAAAAGAAUUUAAACCAGCUAAAAGGAUAGGCAUUAGGUAGAAUUUCACACGAAGAACAAGACUAAGAAAAUUUAAGGUGAUUUGCAUUUAUAAUCAGCAAACGACUCAACAUAUCAGAAUGAGAAGAACAUUCAGGAAUCACCAGGCAGGACAAGAUCAAGGAGGCAACAAGGAAGCAUUUGUUUUGGCCAAAUAAAGUUUGCAGAUCUUUUAAUGCUAAUAUUAGUAAUAAAACCAUCACUGGGAUAUUGGUUUGGCAAUGUUUAAUUAAUGGCCCUGAGCUUUAUGAUCUUUAUUACAUAUGUAUUUAAUGCAACUACACAUACAUGUAAUAUGUACCAUGUAGGCUUAUUUAUUUAUAUUAAUAAUUAAUAUGAUCUUUUCAAACUUAGCCGAAGUUGUUCAACAUAAAAAUACUCAAAUAUUCAGUGUUCUUGAUUAAAUUAGCAUCAAUGGACAUAAUUAAAUAAAGAAAAUCGGAUUAUUACGAUGAUUGGUUUAGUUAGCUACAUUAGUGUUAUUUUGUCUAAUUAUCAAGGAUAACAUUUAAUUAUAUAUAAUAUGUCCUUCAUAUUUUCUCUUUUAAUUAAAAUCGUAAAAAGACUUGCAAUAUAGACCAUGCAUUUGUUAUGUUGUUUAUUGGAGUGAAUUGGUGUUUUUGUUGUGAUUGUCAAAUAUUGUCUUUGUAAGUUAUCUAUUUUGUAUAUAUGAAAUCAACGAGAGUUUCACUCUUAUGGAAGGAUGUUGCUAGGUACCAAGAAGUAAGAACUGAUAGUUGUGUUAAUUAAUUAGUAUAAGUUAGCUGAAUGUUCAAUGUUCAUGCUCUUUUGAGCUACAUAUGACAAUGAAAAUUGAGUUUCUGUGUAAAAUAUGAAGCUAUUCAAUCAAGCAACUCUGCUUUUCAAUUUUCUUACAUCUAAGUCAAAUAGCACUCUUUUAUAAAUCUUCGAGAGAACAAAGCUAAUGCAGGUUCGUACUUAUUAAAUUUAACAUCAGACAAUGAAGUGUAAAAAGUGAAAUUCUUAUCUAUGAUAAACACCUAAAAUAAUUGCAUUGAGUUUUUCAAUUUUCAAAUUUUCAUUGCUAACUCAACAAUUGAGAGACUGAAACAUAUGGAAUAAGAAAUUAACAUAUUCAACCCAAAAGAUUAUUCAACUUAGAUGAUUCAAUAUAACACCUAAUAAGCUUAUGAGUCUUAUUUAAGGAAUAUUAUAAUUUUACUUGGAUUGCUAGAAAUCACGGGAUGUUAUUCAUUUAAGCAUGUGAUACACUUGUUUGAUGAAUUGCUUAUAUGAGUAGAUUAGAUUUUUAUUUUGGUCAUAUUUCUUAUUUUUCUAAUCCCAUCUGUCCCCUAUUCCCUAUCCCGCAUCAAAUGGUGAUAAGAGUUUCCCUAUCAUAUGUCGAACCCAUUAAAGCCAAAAGUAAGAAGUUAAAGAACUAUUUUGUACUGGUUAUACAAAGAACUAUAUUACAAUACUCCACACCCACCCAAAAAAAAAAAAAAAAAUGAAGGCACCAUUCAUACUUCCAAAUCCAGCACUAGCACUUGAAAACAAUAUAAACAAAGGAAUUUGCCAAUAAAAAAGUCAGCUGCAGAAAGCCAAGAAGAUGCAACUAGAAGCUAAGGGAUGUAAGGGAAGGAAAUCUAUUCCGAAAGAACUCCAAAUUGAAUUCAGCAAGUAACAUUGACUUGCCCAGUUACAAAAGGAAGCCACUUUAAUCCUUUAAGAUGAUUCUGAUGAAAUUGGUUCCCUGUAUUGAAACAAUAAACUGCACCAAGGAUAGCACUAAAGGCAGAGCCAGAUUACAAGGGAAGAAAAAAGGGAGGAAAAAAAAUUUUACAACAUGAAAUUGGACUUUUGUUUUAUCUUCCACAAGCAAGAAGUUCGACUAGAAAAGUAUAAAACAAGUACAAAAUAUGAAAUUUUUAGCAAUCUUACAAAAUCACACCUAAAUCUCAAUAAGAUUGUACAUAGUUUUAGUAAAGCUCUACAACUAUUUAUUUAACACCUAAUAAGAUCAUCUCCAUAAUUUUAAAAGCUUACACAAAGAAAGAAUACUUUUGAAUACAAAUAUACAAUGGAGUAGAGAACAAAAAAUGACAUAGAGGGAAAAAAAACACCAAGAGCAGAAAGAGUACAUAUACCAUCUCUAGCCCAUAAUUCAGACUUAUCCCCAUUGCACUUAUAAAUCAAGAUAUGAAGUUUAGGGUCUAAAGUCUUCAACUCCUUGUAGUUCUUCUCCACAGAUGAUCUGUAAAAGUUAUAAGAGAAAGGUAAUUAGUUUGCAACUCUUUCUAGCAAGUUGAUUAGUAAUUCCUAAACAAGUUUAUAGCUUAUUAAUUAUAGUUGGAAUGCCCCCAAAGUUACUAAAACACAAACAAUAGAAACAAUGAGUUUUAAAUUAGUUGUGAGCAAUGCAUAUUCUACCAUCAUUCUCAUUUUGGUCUCCCAUGAAUAUGAUGGCAAUAUGUAUAAUGGUAUUUUCCCAAUAUCAGACUAAGACAACAUCUUUAUAACAAUAAUUCUGACAUUUUCUACUAUUUUUAUUUUUUUGCUAACAAAAUGUACAUCAGAACAUAAAUUUGAAGAAAAAUAAAAUUUAAGCAUACUCAUGUCAUUUAAUCAUAAAAAUGAAUAUCAAAAUUAAGCCUAGAUCUCAACAAUUAAACUCUAAACAAAUUAAACCAAAAAAAAAAAAAACAGCUACCCAAAUGAUGGCGUUAAAAGGUUUGAGGACUUGUACGAUAUCCAACAUUUGCGAACAUUUUUACCGAAAAUCUUCGUCAUCUAUCAUACAUUCCUGAAUAUUGUGAUGGCGUUAAAAGGUUUGAGGACUUGUACGAUAUCCAACAUUUGCGAACAUUUUUACCAGUAACGUUGUCAAAUAGUUCGCGUGGACACUUGGCUUAUAGCAUUCUUCCUAAGUUGUUCAAACUCCAACGCUUGAGGGUCUUCUCUUUGUUUGGAUACCGCAUCUCUGAGCUACCAAAUUCAGUUGGUGAUUUGAGGUAUUUAAGGUACCUUAACCUGUCUGGAACUGAGAUUAGAACUCUACCUGAAUCAGUCAGCAAGCUUUACAAUUUGCAUAGUCUUUUGUUGGAAGAUUGUGAUCGGCUGGAGAAGUUGUGUGCACACAUGGGAAAUCUCGUCAAAUUGCAUCAUCUUAAGAAUUCAAAUACGAAGUCGUUGGAGGAAAUGCCGGUAGGAAUUGGCAGGCUGACUUGUCUUCAGACGUUGUGUAAUUUUAUUGUGGGAAAAGACAGUGGUUCCGGGUUAGGAGAGCUAAAGUUGUUGACGCAACUUAGGGGGACACUUUGCAUUUCAAAUUUGGAGAAUGUAAAACACAUUGUUGAUGCCGAGGACGCUCAAUUGGAUAGAAAGGAGAAUCUUAAAGAAUUAUGGUUUCGAUGGACACUCUAUGGCUCGUAUCCAAGGGAGGCAGAAACUGAAAUGGGCGUGCUUGACAUGCUAAAACCUCAUACAAAUCUGGAGCAAUUUUGUAUCAAAGGCUAUGGAGGUAUGAAAUUUCCAACUUGGUUGGGAGAUUCCUCAUUCUCAAAAUUGGUGACCCUAAAAUUUAAAAAUUGUGACAUGUGUACUGCCCUGCCGUCUGUCGAGCAACUGCCCUCUCUAAAGCAUCUUACAGUGCGUGGAAUGAGCAAAGUAAAGAGAUUGGGUUCAGAGUUCUAUGGGGAUGACUCUCCAAUUCCAUUUCCAUGCUUGGAGACUCUUCGUUUUGAAGACCUGCAAGAAUGGGAAGACUGGAUUCCUCAUGGAUCCAGUCAGGGAGUUGAACGGUUUCCUAAAUUGAGAGAGCUUCGCAUUUUAAGAUGUUCUAAACUGAAAGGAACAUUUCCAGAGCACCUUCCUGCAUUGGAGAUGCUUGUUAUUGAAGGAUGUGAAGAAUUGUUAGUUUCAGUUUCGAGUCUUCCAGCUCUUUGCAAAUUUAUAAUUGGUGGAUGCAAAAAGGUUGUGUGGGAAAGUGCAACUGGUCAUCUCGGAUCACAGAAUUCAGUGGUUUGUAGAGAUACCUCAAAUCAAGUGUUUCUUGCGGGGCCAUUGAAGCCACAACUACCGAAAUUGGAAGAAUUGGAGAUAAAUGAUAUGAAAGAGCAGACGUAUAUAUGGAAGAGUCAUAACGAAUUACUGCAAGACGUUUGCUCUCUCAGAAGACUGACGAUUGCAAGCUGUCCCAAACUUCAAUCCUUGGUGGCGGAGGAAGAGAAAGACCAACAACAGCAGCUCUGCGAGUUGUCAUGCAGACUUGAAUAUCUAGCAUUGAGCGGAUGCGAAGGCCUUGUGAAGCUGCCACAAUCAUCGCUCAACCUCAAUUCCUUGAGAGAGAUAGAAAUCUACGGCUGCAAGUCCCUUGUUUCCUUUCCUGAGGUUGCUCUGCCUUCCAAGUUGAAGAAAAUUCAGAUUAGAGAAUGUGACGCACUGAAAUCGUUACCAGAGGCAUGUAUGUGCGACACCAAUUCGUCUCUCGAGAUCUUGGAGAUUUUGGAUUGCCAUUCGUUGACAUAUAUUGCUGGAGUCCAGCUACCACCGAGCCUUAAGAGGUUGCACAUCACUUCUUGCGAUAAUAUAAGGACUUUGACAGUGGAAGAGGGCAUCCAGUGUAGCAAUAGCAGUACUUAGGUAUUGUCGAUUGUCGAUCUCUGACAUGUAUAUUUUCAAAAAACGAGUUACCUACCACGCUUGAGUCCCUUGAAGUUGGCAAUCUACCUCCGUCUCUUAAGGGCCUUUAUGUUUAUGGAUGUUCGAAGCUGGAGUCAAUAGCAGAAAGGUUGGACAACAACACAUCUCUUGAAUACAUCAACAUUUAUAAUUGUGAAAAUUUGAAGAUUUUACCGAGUGGUUUACAUAAUCUCCGCCAGCUUCAAGAGAUUACUAUACAGAGGUGUGGAAAUCUGGUGUCCUUUCCCGAAGGGGGAUUGCCUUGUGCGAAACUGACUAGGCUCGAUAUCCGCGACUGUGGGAGACUAGAGGCCUUACCACAGGGAUUGCACAAUCUGACCUCUCUUCAAGAAUUAAUAAUAAUAAGAGGUGAGCUUCCAAGCCUUGAAGAAGAUGGCCUUCCCACCAACCUUCAUUCCCUUAGUAUUCGGGGUAAUAUGGAGAUUUGGAAGUCAAUGAUUGAGCGGGGCUGGGGAUUUCACAGAUUCUCCUCUCUGCGACAACUUACAAUCAUGAAUUGUGAUGACGACAUGGUGUCAUUCCCACCAAAGGCAGAUGACAAAGGAUCGGAGACCGCGCUUCCUCUUCCUGCCUCUCUAACAACUCUGAGGAUUCACAAUUUUCCAAAUCUGGAACGCCUAUCUUCUUCAAUUGUUGAUCUUCAAAACCUCACUGAAUUGCGACUCAUUGGUUGUCCCAAGCUCAAAUACUUUCCGGAGUAGGGCCUGCCUUCCUCACUUUUGCAUUUAAGAAUCGUGGAUUGUCCGUUGAUAGCAGAGAAGUGCAGAAAGGAUGGAGGACAAUAUUGGGACUUAUUAACCCAUAUACCGCAUGUUGAUAUAAAUGGUAAAAUAGGUUUUUGAUGACUGAAAUGUUUUAUUAUUAGAAAUUUUCUUUUUUAGUUGGGUGUGUUUGUGAAUGUAAUUUCAAAUCUUAGUUGAAAACUAUUUUUCUUUUGCAAUUACAGAUGUUGAGAUGUCCGUUGAUGGAAGAGAAGUGCAGAAAGGAUGGAGGACAAUAUUGGGACUUGUCAACCCAUAUACCUUAUGCUCGAAUAGGUUUUUGAUGACGACUCAACAGAGGACGACUAAUGAAUGGGUAGAGGUCGACUAAUCAAUGGGUUCGCAUUAUUUAGCUAGCAAAGGAGGAGGACUCUAUUAAUUAAUUAAUUAAUUAAUUUCUCAUUCUCAGCUGUUGAAACUUCAGUUUCUUAUAUUUGUCUUUUCCGCAGUACAGUUACAUAUAUUUGUCCUUUACAUAAUUUCUUAUGUAAAAUAUUUUAUUAUUAGAAUUUUUUUUUUCUUUUAAAUCAAGCGUGUUUGUGUAUGUAAUUUUAAAAUUCAAAUUUGGCUGUUGAAAUAAACUUCAGUUUCUUUUAUUUGGCUGUACGGUUAAAUAUGUGUAAUAUUUCUCUUCAUCAGACUUCGACAAAAAUUGUUAAUGUUCUUAUUAGUAAUUAAUUAGUACGGUAGUGUUCUUCUUUUGUUCCACAAUUUAUCAAAAGCAUUUUACUACAUAAUCUUUGUACAUGUACAUCGUCAUCAAAUCCCAUAACACCCAAAACAGAAAAUCAAAAGAAAACAAGAACAUGCCACACAAUAUCAAAAACGAAAAGAACAUUAUAACACCAAGUAUUAUAUUUCUCUAAUUAUAUUUCGGCUUUAGUGGCCUUAACUUAAAAUCUCCUCCAGAACAAUCUGCCUCCUCAGCAAUAAUGUUAUAAUGUUCUUUUGAUGUUGUUGUUUUUUUAGGUGCUACUUAAACAGAUGAGGGCUGGGCCGCGUUACAAAAUUAUUUGUAAUUUUUAAUUUAAUUGUUUAUGUGCCAUCGCUAUUAAUAUUAACCGAUAAAUACAAUUUUAUCAAUUACUGAAUAUUUGAAUUCAUCAAAACUGUUAUAAUUGAUCAGGAAGUCCAACUUUGUAGCUAUAAUAUGCUAUUUUCAUAAGACUUCGUUAAAGAUUGUUUUGUAAUUAAUUUCACACAACACAACCCUACAGAAAAUUGACCAAAACAAAAUGAAAUAUCAAGGCUGUAAUUAGCACUUGAUCAAAGGAAAAGAAGAAACAAAUGAAUUUGUAAGGAGUACUGCGAUACGUAUAUGAAUUUGUUUAGAGUUCUUUAUCAUAAAAAAAAUCAAUUGUAUGUCCUUCGUAUUUUCUCUAUAAAAACUUGCAUUAUAGAAAAUCAAAAGAGAAACAGCAUCCCAGAAUGCCAAAAAAAUAUCAGAAACAAAAAUCAAACAAAGCAAUUAAAAAGCAUUUGCUUGUGAUGCCAUGACCAUGAAUGCUACUGCCAUAACAAGAAAUGGCAUUGCAAGACUGUAGAAUGCCACAUGUGCGAAUGAGAAGAACAUUACAAAUCAACAAUUCAAAGAAAAAAGAAGAAUUUAAACCAGCUAAAAGGAUAGGCAUUAGGUAGAAUUUCACACAAAAAACAAGACUAAGAAAAUUUAAGGUGAUUUGCAUUUAUAAUCAGCAAAUGAGUCAACAUAUCAGAAUGAGAAGAACAUUCAGGAAUCACCAGGCAGGACAAGAUCAAGGAGGCAACAAGGAAGCAUUUGUUUUGGCCAAAUAAAGUUUGCAGAUCUUUUAAUGCUAAGAUUAGUAAUAAAACUAUCACUGGGAUAUUGGUUUGGCAAUGUUGAAUUAAUGGCCCUGAGUUUUAUGAUCUUUAUUACAUAUGUAUUUAUUGCAACUACACAUACAUGUAAUAUGUACCUUGUAGGCUUAUUUAUUUAUAUUAAUAAUUAAUAUGAUCUUUUCAAACUUACACGAAGUUGUUGAACAUAAAAAUACUCAAAUAUUCAGUGUUCUUGAUUAAAUUAGCAUCAAUGGACAUAAUUAAAUAAAGAAAAUCGGAUUAUUACGAUGAUUGGUUUAGUUAGCUACAUUAGUGUUAUUUUGUCUAAUUAUCAAGGAUAACAUUCAAUUAUAUAUAAUAUGUCCUUCAUAUUUUCUCUUUUAAUUAAAAUCGUAAAAAGACUUGCAAUAUAGACCAUGCAUUUGUUAUGUUGUUUAUUGGAGUGAAUUGAUGUUUUUCUUGUGAUUGUCAAAUAUUGUCUUUGUAAGUUAUCUAUUUUGUAUAUAUGAAAUCAACGAGAGUUUCACUCUUAUGGAAGGAUGUUGCUAGGUACCAAGAAGUAAGAACUGAUAGUUGUGUUAAUUAAUUAGUAUAAGUUAGCUGAAUGUUCAAUGUUCAUGCUCUUUUGAGCUACAUAUGGCAAUGAAAAUUGAGUUUCUGUGUAAAAUAUGAAGCUAUUCAAUCAAGCAACUCUGCUUUUCAAUUUUCUUACAUCUAAGUCAAAUAGCACUCUUUUAUAAAUCUUCGAGAGAACAAAGUUAAUGCAGGUUCGUACUUAUUAAAUUUGACAUCAAACAAUGAAGUGUAAAAAGUGAAAUUCUUAUCUAUGAUAAGCACCUAAAAUAAUUGCAUUGAGUUUUUCAAUUUUCAAAUUUUCAUUGCUAACUCAACAAUUGAGAGACUGAAACAUAUGGAAUAAGAAAUUAACAUAUUCAACCCAAAAGAUUAUUCAACUUAGAUGAUUCAAUAUAACACCUAAUAAGCUUAUGAGUCUUAUUUAAGGAAUAUUAUAAUUUUACUUGGAUUGCUAGAAAUCACGGGAUGUUAUUCAUUUAAGUAUGUGAUACACUUGUUUGAUGAAUUGCUUAUAUGAGUAGAUUAGAUUUUUAUUUUGGUCAUAUUUCUUAUUUUUCUAAUCCCAUCGGUCCCCUAUUUCCCAUCCCACAGCAAAUGGUGAUAGAGCUUCCCUAUCAUAUGUCAAACCCAUUAAAGCCAAAAGUAAGAAGUUAAAGAACUAUUUUGUACUGGCUAUACAAAGAACUAUAUUACAGUACUACGCACCCCAAAAAAAAAAAAAAAUGAAGGCACCAUUCAUACUUCCAAAUCCAGCACUAGCACUUGAAAACAAUAGAAACAAAGGAAUUUGCCAAUAAAAAAAGUCAGCUGGAGAAAGCCAAGAAGAUGCAACUAGAAGCUAAGUGAUGUAAGGGAAUGAAAUCUAUUCCGAAAGAACGCCAAAUUGAAUUCAGGAAGUAACAUUGACUUACCCAGUUACAAAAGGAAGCCACUUUAAUCCUUUAAGAUGAUUAUGAUGAAAUUGGUUCCCUGUAUUGAAACAAUAAACAGCACCAAGGAUAACACUAAAGGCAGAGCCAGAUUAUAAGGGAAGAAAAAAGGGAGGAAAAAAAAUUUUACAACAUGAAAUUGGACUUUUGUUUUAUCUUCCAAAAGCAAGAAAUUCGACUAGAAAAGUAUAAAACAAGUACACAAUAUGAAAUUUUUAGCAAUCUUACAAAAUCACACCCAAAUCUCAAUAAGAUUGUACAUAGUUUUAGUAAAGCUCUACAAAUAUUUAUUUAACACCUAAUAAGAUCAUCUCCAUAAAUUUAAAAGCUUAAAACAAAGAAAGAAUACUUUUGAAUACAAAUAUACAAUGGAGUAGAGAACAAAAAAUGACAUAGAGGGAAAAAAAACACCAAGAGCAGAAACAGUACAUAUACCAUCUCUAGCCCAUAAUUCAGACUUAUCCCCAUUGCACUUAUAAAUCAAGAUAUGAAGUUUAGGGUCUAAAGUCUUCAACUCCUUGUAGUUCUUCUUCACAGAUGAUCUGCAAAAGUUAUAAGAGAAAGGUAAUUAGUCUUCAACUCUUUCUAGCAAGUUGAUUAGUAAUUCCUAAACAAGUUUAUAGCUUAUUAAUUAUAGUUGGAAUGCCCCCAAAGUUACUAAAACACAAACAAUAGAAACAGUGAGUUUUAAAUUAGUUGUGAGCAAUGCAUAGUCAGCCAUCAUUCUCAUUUUAGUCUCCCAUGAAUAUGAUGGCAAUAUGUAUAAUGGUAUUUUCCCAAUAUCAGACUAAGACAGCAUCUUUAUAACAAUAAUUCUGACAUUUUCUACUAUUUUUAUCUUUUUGCUAACAAAAUGUACAUCAGAACAUAAAUUUGAAGAAAAAUAAAAUUUAAGCAUACUCAUGUCAUUUAAUCAUAAAAAUGAAUAUCAAAAUUAAGCCUAGAUCUCAACAAUUAAACUCUAAACAAAUUUAACCAAAAAAAAAAAUCAGCUACCCAAAUGAAAUUUGCGUUUGCAUUGAAGCUCGGCCCACGAUAUCCCCAUGUUUAGCGAUCAAUUAGAGGGAAAUUGAACAAGAUACACAACCAGGGCUUUUUUUUCUCCAGUGCCUCAAUAUCAACGUCGUCAACCACCACAUCUUCGUCGUCAUCAUCAUUACUUCAUAAUUCCACAAUUAACAAAAAAUCCCCAAAUGUCAGAAACCUAAUUCAACCGAAUAAUUAACAGGAAAUGGCACCGGUUGAGCGAUGGCUAUAGAGUAAGGAACUGGUGCUUCAUGAGCGGCCAGUAGCUUGCAACAAUAUUGAGUGAUGAUUGUCGAGUUUAGUGGCUUAGGGUCUCGGUCAACUGUGAGGCUGUAAGGGCUUGGGGUUUUUCUCAAUUAAGGAACUUUUUGAGGCUUCCACUGAUUUGUAAUGUAGAGUUGUGAGAGGCUUAGGGUUAGGGUUCAAUUAAUUCAGCGAUUAUUGGAGAGACAGGGAGCGUGCUUGAGAGUGAAGGAGUAGAGCUUGCUUAUCAAUUCGUUCAUCACUCACUGCAAAUUUGCCAAGUUUUGAUAUGUUAGCUUAAUAUAUUUACAAAACCAAACGACACCAAUUAUUUUAUUAUUUUUUUAAUUUUUAAAAUUAAUUAAAUAUCAACAAUGGCAAUUUUCUAAUUAAACAAAUCUUAAACAAUUUUAAAAUAUCAAUUUCGUCCGUUAUUAGUAAUUCAUAAAUAAAAUAAUAUUUAAUCAAACAAAAUAUCAAGCACUGGCAGUUGGUAGCGGUAUUUUUGUAAUUAAAUAUUUAAAAAAAAACAAAAAAUAUUGCCUGUUAUGUAAUGUACUUAUCAUAACUUCAUAUUGUAUCUGCAUCAGUCAUGAAUCUAUCAUUAAAUAAUCACGGAAGCAUUAUAUGUUACCGAAAUAUUAUAUUUUCACGAUAAAAUGAUAUAUGUCAUAAAAUUUUUGUUAUAAAAAUAUAUGAUAAUUAUUUACCGACCAUCUAUUUUUUUAAAAUAUAUAAAUUUUAUUUUAAUUUUUUUGCAACAUUCUAUUUAAAGUUAACAUUCUCUUCACUCGUCUAUUUCCGGCGUAACGCAUUUAAUGGAUUUAACAUAAAAUUAAUCAAGUAUUUUUUUACCCAUAAUUGUAAAAUUUUUAUUUUUCUUAAAUAAAUGCCAAAAGUAUAUGAGUAUCAUUUAAAAUUUCCCAAGCUCAAUACGGCAUCGUAAAAACCCUACAAAACCUUCGUUCCCAUCCUUGAGCCUUGAGCCUUGAGCCUUGAGCCUUGAACAAUAUGAGCAAAAUGAUUUUUUUAGAAAAAAACCAGGGAUAUCAAUUAAUAAAAAUUUAAAUCUAACCAAAAAAUCCUAAUAUAUAAAAGUAAAAUCUUAACAUAUGUCCAAAAGCAAAAGAAUAGAAUUUUAUUUUCAAUUUAGAAUUUUAUUUCAUUUUCAAUUUUCAAUUUUAUUUUUCCUAAGUGAUUUUGAAUAAUUACUACUACUAUAAAUAGUUAUCUCUUAUAGCCUUUGAAGACAUAUUCAACUUCAAUAAUAUUUUAAUUUUCAAAUCUCUUUGUGAGUAUUUAAAUAAUUAAUUUUUAAUAUUCUACGAAAUCAUCGAAUCUUAAUUUCUAAAUCCGCAAUAUUCUUUUAAAUCAAUAAAAAAUUUAAUUAUUUAUUUAUUUUGAUAUUCUCUCAAAUUAAAAUAUUUUAAAUAUUAAAAUUCCGCUCCAUCAAUCACUCGCAAACGCAAUUAGCCCAGCCCAACAUGCGAAAGUGAAAUCGCCUGCAGUUCCAGUCAAUUGAACGUCUUGUCGUUUAUGCUAAAUGUCGUUUCUAAGUUUCAUUUACCAACGACAAAACGAUUUAUCUUUUACCUGAAAGUCCAAGCAUAGCGAGCGAGUUGUUUUGCAAAUGGGACAGUUGUCCCAACGAUAUUCACAAACAAUCCCAUUUCAUGGCCCGAAGAACAAACCCAACGACAUAUGAAAGCAUCAACCUUUACUGGAGGAGGUCGAUUAAAAUGAUAGAAGGCGAAGAAGUAAAUGAAACAGGAAUAAGAAGCGGAAGCAAGUAAGCAGAGCAAGUGGCCAUGAAAACAGCUACAUUACCAUUUGGUGGCUUUGGGCAUUCUUAUUUACCUUCAUCUUCAUUCAAGAUUGUUAUUGUAAUGGCAAAGAGCAACAAAAAGUCCCGAUCCUCUUCUUCUUCUUCUAAGGUUCUUUCCACCUUUUUUUGUUUGAAUUCACAAUCUUCUCUUGUUUGAUGGCAAAGUUGGUCCUUUUUAGUUUUUUUUUUUUGUUUUUAAUGAAUUGAAUUUAGCGUUUCAUAGACUCUCCUUUAAAGGGUUUGUGUGAUGUAGUUCAAUAAGUUUUGGAUGCGCCGAAGUAGUUAAUUUUAGUUAUAUGUAGUGUUUGUUUAGCUCAUAUGGGUGUCUUAAUUUUUCAUUUUUCUUAUAUAUCAACAGUCUUCAGUUGUUGGCUGCUCUUGAUGACCGUUUUAGUUUAUUUAAUAUAUUCUUAUUGAAUAAUCAUAAUAAUAUGUGAUGCAAAAUUGUUUAUCAGGUGGUUUACAAUUGUAAGCAAAUAUAUAGAAGCUGAAACUGAUCAUUAUACUUUUAGUGAUUGCUGAUGCCUGUAGAGGUAGAUUUCUGACCCAGAAAGUGCCUUACACGAUCAUAUCAGCCUUGUUAAUGGAAACACAAAAUGAGUAAGAGUAAGUAUGUGUUCUUGAGGAGCCAAAAAUAGGGUGUUAUUUUCUGCUUCUCUUAAUCAAGUUCUGUAGCAAUAGAAAAUGGGGAUUACAAUGCUUGGUUUAAAGGCCUUUUUUUAAUUUUGUGGCAAAUUAAUGUAUGUUCCAGAGUAGGAGCAGUGUUUGAUCCAUAAAUUUUUUUCUUUAUAUUUGUAAAUACUUUUAUCUCUCUCCUUUUUUUUUUUUUCCCGGCCUCUAACUGGCUUUUCUACCAAUAGGAUUCAGAGCCAACACCUCCAAGAAUUACAUCUAAUGUGAAGCAAAAUUUGCAGUUCUUGAGAUUAUGGAAGGUUGGUUUUAUAUUGACAUAUCUAAAACCAGCAUCAGUUUUUAUCUUUCAUCUUAUUUAAGUUUGCCUUUGUAGGAGUUUCAAAGGAGCAAGUCUAGCACGCCUAGGCCUUCAACUAGUUACCGCAGGAAAAAGGUUGAGAAGGAGGAAUUGCCAGAAGAUACAGAGCUUUACCGUGAUCCUUUACUAGUAAUAUACUCUUCACGUUUCUUUUAUUUGCCUUGUUUGUUGUUUCAUUGAUCCCCUCUUUACCUUCUAUUAAAGGAAUUUUCUCUUUUAUUUACAGUACAAACCAGGGUAUAGAUAAUGCUGUUCCUGUCUUACUUGUUGAUGGGUAUAAUGUUUGUGGCUAUUGGCCAAAGCUGAAGAAACAUUUUAUUAAAGGAAGGUUGGAUGUUGCUCGUCUGAAGCUAAUUGAGGAACUUGUGGAAUUUAGUAUGAUAAGAGGUUUGUAUUUUUUAUCUCUGUUUUAUUCUAUAAGAGGCUUCUCUGUAUGUUGCAAUCGAUUAAAUGUGAUGCUGCCUUGCUUGGCUAUAACAAAAUGAUGUAUAAAAUACCAUAAUUGAAAGAUAUAUUUCUGCUGCUUAACUUGUGAUUGGAUAUACUUUAAUAGUAGGUGUCUUCAAGAAGUGAUAUCUUGAAAAUUAAACACUGCUCCCAAUGCUUUUUUUUUUCUUUGGAAGGAACUGUUCCCUAUGCUUAGUUUCGUACUUUAUUAAGUUUUGCUAUCAAAGUUUCUUCUUUGGAGGUUAUCCCCAAAGAUCUAUGAUUGCUUUAAUGUUUCAUAGUAGUCUCAAGUUAAAAGUUAACUGUGUCAAAUUGUCAAAUAAAGUGUUAGUAGAUGAACAAAAUGAAGCAAAGACAGAUGGAUUUUCUAGAUUUGACCAUAUGGUCUUUCUCCUCUUAUUUUUCCAACCAGAAAUUUAACAGCCCUGAAGCCAUAAGUUAAAGAAAUGUAAAGAUUUAAAAAAAAAAAAAAAAAAGAAAGAAAGAAAAAGGUGCAACUAUUAGUUUUCAUACAUGCAUUUUGCAACCUUUAAAUUAUAGGAUAUGUUGUUGACUCAAAUUCGACUCAAAUUGUAAUCCUAAUACUUGGUUGUUAAUUGUUUUCUUUCUGUUGAUGUUGCAACCACAUUUUAUGAUUUCUGAAAUAUUUACAGAGGUGAAAGUGGUCGCUGUGUUUGACGCCUUGAUGUCUGGACUGCCAACACACAAGGAAGAAUUUAUUGGGUAUUAUUUGUGAACCUAAACCAUGCUUCCAUCAUUUUCUAACUCUUUUAUUCUUGAGAUUCAAUUCUGUCUGCAGAAUUGUUUGUUUUCUUUGAUAUCCUACUGCAAAAUGUCCUUUGUAUCCACUUAGUAUACAUAUGUUACAUAUACACAUUUCUUGUUGGUGGUAAUUUUUUACAUAUACACAUAUCUUGUUGGUAGUAUUUUUGGACACAUAAAAGGUUCCAUGAUCCUGCUGUGCAUAUUGGGUGGUCAGAUUGAAUGGGGCUCAGUCGUGAUUUGCUACUUUUACUUUUCCACAAUUUAUUUAAAUCUGACUUUAUCUUUGUACCCUUGACUGGAAAUUCAUGAAUUGGGCUUCUGAUGGUAAAAUGAACUUGUUAGAUAUCUAGUAUUAUUUUCCACCUAUGUCUAUCUAUUCAUGUAUAAUAAUUACUCAACAGAUUAAAUUUUUUAUGAUUUUGGUAUAAACUAGGAAAAAAAAAUUACCUUAUAAUUGUUAGAAGCUUCUCUUGGCAAGAAAAGCAGAGGAGGCCAUAUAUCUAUCUAUGUUAUUAACCCCAAGAAGUGGGUUAAUUAGUACUGGUUAACUAUUGAAUUUUUUUAUGUUCUACUUAACUGAAAUUUCCUUGCAAUUUAUACUUUGUUUGAAACCUGUGAUAUUAAGCGUUCAUAAUGGUGCAGCGUUGACGUAGUGUUCUCUGGAGAAACGUGUGCUGAUGCAUGGAUUGAAAAAGAGGUAAAAAAUAAUAAUAAAUAAAAUAAAAUCUUAGACUUCCUGCUUCACAACGUAAAUGAUAGAAUUUUUCAGUUUAAAACCUGCGGAGUAUAUAACCAUUACGUCCAUUAAUCCUGUCGAAAAUUGAUUUUAUGGGAUAAAUGAUUUUGAUCUCCGCUUUUAUGCAUAAUGGUAAUGAUUCCUUUUGUAUUUUGUCCUUUACCAAAAAGCCUUUUCCCCAGAUCAAUUUUUUUUUUCUUUGAUUGGAUCUCACUUGACUCUCUGUUGCUCACAUUGCAUAUUGAGGUAGAAAUUUUGUAUAAAUUUAUUGGCGUUCAAUCAGAAUAUUCGUUUAAGUUCUUCCUAUUGAUUCCUGGAACACUUUUAAAUUACACUUAAAAGAAAAAGGUCAGCAAUCACCCAAAAGAGUAACCUUUUGUGCUUAUAUUUUACCAAAGUUAUUUUUUUCUUAUGUCGUUAGAAAAAGUCAAAUCGUAACGUGGUACUGUGGGAAUUAUUAUGCUAUGCCUUCUGUUUGUAUAUCAUUAGGCUGGUAUGAAGUGUGAUUUUACUGCUGUUUUCUGAUUAGCAGGCUGGAAUCAUGUUUGUGUGACAGAUAGUAGCUUUGAGAGAGGAUGGAUGUCCCAAAGUUUGGGUUGUGACUUCUGAUCAUUUGCAGCAGCAUGCAGCAUAUGGAGCGGUAUGCUCUUUACUCUUGAGUUUUUUACAGUAGUGCUUGAUAAUAAAUUUAUACAAAUUUCUGACAAGUCUUUUUAUCUUGAAUCCGAUAAGGUGUCAAGAUGUUAGUGGGGUUAUUAGGGCAUGCGCAGGGCGGUUCGAUAGCGACUGUUCAUGUCAUUCAAUUUUAUUUUAUGUAAUAAGUGCCAUUAUGGCAUUACCAAACUUCACCGAUUGAAUAUAUUAUGUAUACUUUUUAUGAAAGUGAAUACAUUCUUCAAACUUGAAAUUGGAAUAUUUUAUGUAGUUAUUUAACAUCACAUUUAUUCAAAACAUACAUAGGCAUUUAUAGUUCAAGGUUAGAAGCAAAUUAAUGGGGGAAGAUUUAAAUUAAUGAAGAUAAUGGUGAGAAAUACAUGUAUAAUCUAAUUAGCAGUUUGCUUGAGAAAUUAUGGGAGAAGAGAAAUAUACCAAAUCUCAGUUCAAUUUAGGUACAAAGAAAAAAAAAAACUUUAUAUGCAUACUUUAUUAAGAGUUGAAUUCAAAUAAUCGAAGUUGCAAGAAAAACUCUACUUGAUGUUAUGAAUUUUGUAUUUUAUUCAUUAAUAUUUUUUUGUCAAUUUAUUUUUCAUAGGGCCUUAAAGGUGUGUGUGUGUAGUGAAAUUAUUAAUUUAGUACACUGGCCUAUUUCAAGAUCGGAUGAUUUUAUUAUUUAAUCAAGAUUUUACAGUGUAAAAGCACUUUUAUUGUGUUUUGAACAUUUAUAUAAUAUAUUUGGUAUUAUACAUUAAGAUUUAUCUUUAUUAUUAUUAUUAUUGAACUCUUACCUAUUUGCUUAAUUUAUUUUUUAUUUUUUAGUUUAUAGAGAGUUUCUCUAACAAUUAUAUGUAUAAGCAGUAGCUAAGCUAUUUUAAUUAGUAGCGUCAGCACGACAAACUAAAAGUCAUUUAUCAAUCAAUAUCCCUAAAAAAUCCCAACUGCCGGCAAAUUAAUACAUAUCAUCACCCUAUCGUAUUGACAACAAAAUGCGAGCAACGUCCAGGUUAUUACAACAAUAAUUUUAGCACACAUUCAAUCAAGUGAAUGAUAGACAUAUUUUGUGUAGAUUCAAUUAAAUUCAUUUAACUUGACCCCAACAAGAAAAAGAGAAAAUUUGUUUGCUUCUAAUGAAAAUUAAUUAAAUGAUAGCAAUAGUUUGUAUGAUUGUAUGUCAGUGUAGUUUUUUCUUGAAGAAAAAGAAAAAAAAAAUCUAAUAAAAAUGACAAUUGGGUGGGCGGCUCAAUAAAAACAUGGUCGGUGAUAUUCGGUAAGCCCUGCGGGUAGCCACCAUCCAGCCAGUUUGCCUUUUCCCGUAUAUUUAUUACUUGAUUUUACACAGAGUUUUCACUAUCCGUUUAGCUCAAAUUCUUAUGUGAGAGUGAGACCACAAAAGCUUUGCAAGGCAAAAAGAGACAAGAGGAAGGGUUACACGAGAACCGCCAAAUUUGCCAAGGCCACGGGAUAUUUGUGGUCAAUGUUCCACAAAAUACAACUUAACUCAACUCAACUAACCCACAAAAUAGCCGUGGGGCCAUUCAUUUGCUGAUUUUCCAGCUGCUUAAUUUGGCUCCAUAUGAUCUCGUGCCAUCUUAUAUUCUUUUUAUGCGGGCAUUUGCCAUCUUAAAUUCUUUAGAUUACCCAUAAUUUCUACAUACCUGGGACUAAAAUUACUUGAAAUUCAUACAUGUCUUAGAUAUUUUUAGCAGAAGACGAGGUGAUGAGUGGCAGUAGUUUCCCUCUGCCUCAUGCGAUUGUAUGGCUUAGUGCGAUUUAUACCUACCUUUGCCUUCAUUUUCAUGACCCUUUUGUUUUUUAACUAACUGAAAUUAGACUAAUUCAUGAUCUGACUUUGCUCCGAUGAAAUUGUAAGUGUAAUUAAAUUUUAUUCAUAUAUUAAUAUUAAUAGAUUGCCAUGCGACACAAGAUUUUUACAAAUUUAGGAGAGCUCAAAUUAUGAAGAAAUUUCUAAUUGAAUAUGUGGAAGCAUUUGAAUAUAUGACUUUGAUUUCUUUUUUAAGAAAAAAUUAUUUAUAUAUGUAUACAAUCAGUAUGUCAUUUGAAAACUUUGGUUAAUCUACUAUGUUAAGCAAUUUUUUUUUUUAAUAAAAAAAUGACUACGCUACUGAUUUAAUAUAAUUCUCUACCUUUUUUAUUUGAUUUAAUAUAAUACUCUACCUUUUUUGUUUAAUAUAUAUGAGUCUCUAUCUCUUUUAUUUUAUUAUGAUAAGCAUGAGUAAAAUUUUAUUCAUUUGGUAAUGUUCAGGUCAAAAAGGCUAAUCAUCAGAAUCCAACUACUAAUUUAGAUGGAUCCUCUCUAGUGAUUCCAGCAAGUUCGAGCACAUAGUACGGAGCUAUGUAAAUCGAGAUUAAGACCUGUUAAUACAUAAUAAGUAUAACCUAAGUAGGUAAUUAUUCAAAUUUAUCAUAAUUUAUUUUGAUUUUGAAUUGUACAGAAAAUUAAAUAUGAAGAAGACUUUAUAUACAGCAAUAUGAUUAAUCGUGUUUUGAUUAAUUAUCAAAAUAGUAUAGGAAAAUGAUCAAAACCCCCUCAUGCUUGGCGUAAUUAACUAUUCUUCCUUCAUAAGUUGAACAAUAAAAUCCCUGGCGUUAUAGGUUUAAACACCCCUAGACACUUUUGGAGGACUAUCUGUUCUUUUUGUAACAGACAAUUGAUAAAUGGAUUUUUUUUUUUUUUUUGAGAAGGAUAAAUGGAUUUUAAACACUAAUUAAUUUCGAGGGAUAUUAUCAAAUAUAAUACCUAGCAUGACAUAUCAAUUUAUCAACGAGAUUUUCUGAUAAUUAUGUUUUACCAUCUAAUGUUUUGGUUGUUACUAUUUAUCGCCAAAAUCUUAACACUAUUAAAAAAUUGUUGAGGUCACAAGAGUAUUUGAUAAAUUUCAAACUGAAGCUAUUUUUCUAUUUUCUUAGUUCUUUUAGAGAUUUUUAUCUUUUUCCUCUAGACAUCUGAUUUAGAGCCUUUUAUUUUUGUUUUAUUUAUUUCAAUUAUUAGAAUUUUAUUAUGAUUUUAUAUUAUUACAUUUAAUUGGUUUAAUUUUAAUUGAACUUAAUAUGGUGAAAUUUAUUUGUACAAGUAAAAAUAAUAUCACAAAUUAGUUUCUCUAUGGAUGCAUGAAAAUUUUCAGUUACUGUCACUAUCAGAAAACCUAAAUUCAAUCGCAGGAAUAUCUUAAAAUAAUAAAAUUUUAAUAACUAAAUUAAAGAAAAAGAAUAAAAACGACUCGUACAUCUAAUUUCUUAAAAUCCAAAAAAAAAAACUACAAAAAUAAGAAAAUGACUUCAUCUUGAAAUUUUUUAAAUACCUUUGUGAUCUCAAUAAUUUUUUAGUAGUGUUAAGAUUGUGAUAGUAAAAUGAUAGCAGACUGAAUAUUAGGUGGUAAAAUAUAGUUAUUAGAAAAUCUUGUGGUGAAUUGAUAUGUCGGGGGAACUUCUAGUGAUGAUUUGAUAAAAUCCCUUAUUUCACUGUAAAAUUAAAAACAAGAAAAAGGAAAGUCAACAGUUAAUAAAACAUUCAUUGACAGUAGAGGGUUUUGUUGUUUCCAAAACUAAGGGUGUACUAUAAAUAGUUAAUUUCUCCUGGCAGUAGGGACAUUUUACUUACCUUAAAAAUUUUGUAUUCCUUCAUGGCACAUUUAGUCCAUUUUUGUAAUGGAAUGAAUUUUUCAUUAAGUUGUAAAUCUUUAGCUGUGAAGUAAAGGUGAGUAUUUACUAGGCGAUUGAUACAACAGUUGUGUUUUCAUAAUCAAACGGCGGCACAAUAGUUGUUGCUAUCUCACAACACAAAUGUAAAUUAAGAAAGCGCUAAACAACUAGAGAACUUGGAAAGAGACAAUAUAAUUAUGUGUGUGUAUACAUAUAUACACAUACAUAUAUAUACACAUACAUAUCAUUAAUGUUGUUUAACCACACGACUUAACAUCGUACCUCGCAUCUAAGCAUGAUUAUAUGUUUUAAAAAAACUAUUAAAACAUAUGAUUUUAUAACAUUAUAUCAUUAUACUAUUAAACCAUGUGGCUUAAUAGUUUUCAUGGACGUUACAAUAUUAAAUCAUAUAAAUAGUUUUCAUGGACGUUACAAUAUUAAAUCAUAUAACGUAAUAGCUUUUCCACACUAACAAAUUUAAUAUUUUGGAUUGGGACACACACACACAUGUAUAGGUGUUGUGCCCUUGUUUAUUUAUUUAUUUAUUUUGAAAUGUAAACAUGUUGUUUAAUAGUUUUCUUUACUGACUCUAUUAAACUGUAUGAUUUAAUAGUAUGUUCACAUGAAAAAAAAAUGAAGGCACCCACAUUAGAGAAGAACUAUAAUAUUAAACAAAAUAAUCUAACAAAUAUUGUUAAUUAUUAUUUUUUUUUUAUGAACAACUACACAAACGGAGUGAUUCUAAGAAAGCUUGUGAAGCGAGUUGAGGCUGCAGACUAUGAGACAUAUUAAUUUUCUACAAUUUACCUUUUGUUCAUUAUAUUAAAGUCCCAUUAUUUUUAUUACUAUUCUUUAUGUUUGCUAUUCCGCACGAAUACGUAUCCCUAACGUAUUAGUUGUCGCUUCUUAGAAUUAAAACUAGACACAUGUAAAUAUGUGAACUCUAAUUAAAUCUUGAUACUUGUAAUAUAUAUGAGCCAUAUCUAAAAAGGAAAUUUCAAUUUCUACUUCCAUUUUUUAAAUGCCAGGUCGAUGUACAUUAUCUAUGCAUGUACUGAAUAGGAAGCAACACAUGAAGAUGCAUUCUUUUUGCUAGACACUGAUUUUUAAUUUUCAUUUUUUUUCCAAUUAUUCAAAGGUGCCUGGUCCACGCAUGUCCGGUUCGUCAAGCAGACAAGCACAAGCAUGUGAAACUUGCUGAAUUAUUGAUGGUGGUGGGGGGCUGCCUGCCUCUGGCUUAUGAGUUUGAAGAUUUGUAAAGGGAAGGUUCGUAGUAGAUACUUCCCAUUCUCUACUUAUUGAUGGUGGUGGGGGCUGCGAUUUUAUAUUCAUUGAAUCUGGUAACAAGUGGUGGUGACCGGUGAUUGGUGAAUUGCCAAAAUUAUUAAAAGAAAAAUUGCACACUAUCCUUUUUUUCAUUUUUUAUUCUUUAUUUUACUAUUUCUAAUCGGUCCCACAAAAAAAUAUUUUAUUAUUUGUUAUCGAUCCCACAAAAGAAAAAUUCGAAAAGUGAACGCGUUUUCUGUCGUCCCUUCGUCGGCUUUCGUUCGUUUUCAGUUUUCACCAUCCUUUUUUUCAUUUUUUAUUCUUUAUUUUACUAUUUAUAAUCGGUCCCACAAAAGAAUAUUUCAUUUUUUCCAAUUAUUAAUCGACUUGUUAUUUCAUUAAGUAUAUAUAUAUAUAAUAAAUGAGUCGAAUUUAUGUUCAGCUAAAAUUUUAUUGUAUUUGACACGACUGUAAUGUAACAUGAUGGUAGGAAUUACCAUUGUGAUUUUAAAAAACUAUAGUGUUUAUAAUUUGAGUCUUCGUCUUAGCAUUGAAAUUAAUUCAAUAAAUGAAGUAAUUAUAUGGCAAAAGGAGAGAGAGAGAAACGUUUUAGUUUAACUUUGUUUAUAAGUUUGAAGAUUUGUAAAGCGAAGGUUCGUAGUAGAUGCAUUCCAUUUUCCUCUUUAUUCAGUAUUUACCCAGACACUGGAUUAAUGUUGUUGAUUUGAUAUACGAUUUUAUAUUUAUUGAUUCUAAUAACUAGAGGUGGUCACUGAUGAUUGGUGACUCACUAAAUUAUUAAUGGGUGGUGGGCUCUCCUUUUAUUUUCACUUUCCUGGAAUAAGCAACAAGUGGAAGACUUGUUACAUGCACUUUGCUCGACACUCUCCAUGCUUACUGUUCAAUUUUCUGAUUCUGCUUUCCAUAACCCAUAAUUCUGCUUCGUUCUUCCUUUGCCCAAAAAAAGAAAAAAAUGUCAAUCAUCGGAGAGGCAAUCCUUACGGCGUCCGUUGAUUUGCUGGUCAAUAAGUUAGCUUCAGAGGGGGUUCUGUUUUUUGCACGCCAAGAUCAAAUCGAGGCCGAUCUGAUGAGGUGGGCGAAUAUGUUGGAGAUGAUUAAGGCGGUGCUUGAUGAUGCUGCGGAGAAGAAGACGACUAAUCAGUUUGUGAAGAAGUGGCUUGGCAAGCUUCAGAACUUGGCUUAUGAUGUUGAAGACUUGUUGGAUGAGUUUCAAACUGAGGCUUUCCGGAGGAGGUUGCUGCUUGGGAAUGGAGAACCAGCUGCUGCUCAUGAUCAACCCAGUAGCAGUCGUACAAGACCAAGCAAGUUUAGGAAGCUCAUUCCUGCUUGCUGCACCACUUUUACUCCACAAUCGAUUCAGUUCGAUUAUGGCUUGAAGUCCAAAAUCAAAGAGAUCAGCAGCAGAUUUCAAGAAAUUGAAGAAGGAAUACGCUCGCUGAAUUUGAUAAAAAGUUUAGCUGGGGGGUCCAAAAAAGCCAGGCAAAGGCAAGAGACAACCUCUUUGGUGGAGGAAGCCAAAGUAUAUGGCAGGGAAACAGAAAAGAAGGAAAUUGUUGAAUUGUUGUUGAAGGAUGAUUCAAGAAAGGAUGGUGGAUUCUCUGUUAUUCCUAUUCUAGGUAUGGGCGGGCUGGGUAAAACCACUCUUGCUCAGGUUGUCUACAAUGAUAAGCAGGUGGAGGAUCAUUUUAAUCUCAAGGCAUGGGCUUGCGUCUCCGAUGAUUUUGAUGUUAGCAGGCUUACAAAAUCAAUCCUACAUUCAAUUGCUAGUGACCAGAAUGUGGAUAAUCACGACUUGAAUAAGCUUCAAGAGGAGCUAAAGAAACAACUAUUUGGAAAGAAAUUUUUGCUUGUUUUAGAUGACGUUUGGAAUGAGAAUUACAAUGACUGGGUUCACCUCAGCCUUCCAUUUCAAGCUGGCGCGAAGGGAAGUAAGAUUGUUGUCACUACUCGCAAUCAACAGGUUGCAAAAAUCAUGAGGCCGGAUCAAGCUUAUGAAUUGAAAAACUUGUCAACUGAGGAUUGUCUGUCUGUGUUUGCUCAGCACUCUUUGGGGACAAGAGAUUUCAGUUCACACAAGUCAUUGGAGGACAUUGGCAAGAAGAUAGUGAUCAAAUGCAAUGGCUUGCCCUUGGCAGCAAAAACACUGGGAGGACUUUUAUGUGGAGAACAUGACAGAGGUGUGUGGGAAGAUGUGCUCAGUAGCAAGAUAUGGGAAUUACCAGAAGAUAGAUGUCCCAUUAUACCAGCUCUUGCAGUGAGCUAUUAUUAUCUUCCUCCAAUUUUGAAACAAUGCUUUGCAUACUGCUCAUUGUUUCCUAAGGAUUAUGAAUUUGAAGAUGAGGAGAUAAUUUUAUUAUGGAGUGCUUCGGGUUUCUUGGUUCAUAAAGAGAGUGGGAAUCCUGACGAAGAUCUAGGUCGAAAGUUCUUUCAAGAGCUACGUUCAAGAUCUUUCUUCCAGCAAUCAAGCAACAAUACAUCACGAUUUGUGAUGCACGACCUUAUCAGCGACCUUGCUCAAUGGGCUGCGGGGGAGAUAUACUUCACAAUGGAGUAUACCUCGGAGGUUAACAAGCAACAGAGUUUUUCCAAAAAUCUUCGUCAUCUAUCGUACAUUCGUGGAGAAUGUGAUGGCGUUAAACGGUUUGAGGGCUUGUACGAUAUCCAACAUUUGCGAACAUUUUUACCAGUAAAGCUGUCAAAUAGUUGGGAUGGAGACUUGGCUCGUAGCAUUCUUCCUAAGUUGUUCAAACUCCAACGCUUGAGGGUCUUCUCCUUGUUUGGAUACCGCAUCUCUGAGCUACCAAAUUCAGUAGGUGAUUUGAGGUAUUUAAAGUACCUUAACCUAUCUGGAACUGAAAUUAGAACUCUGCCUGAAUCAGUGAACAAGCUUUACAAUUUGCACACACUUUUGUUGGAGGACUGUCGGAAACUGAAGAAGUUGUGUGCAGAAAUGGGAAACCUCAUCAAAUUGCAUCAUCUUAAAAAUUCAAAUACAGAUUCCUUGGAGGAAAUGCCACUAGGAAUUGGUAAUUUGACUUGUCUUCAAACGUUGUGUAAUUUUGUUGUGGCAAAAGACAGUGGUUCCGAGUUAAGAGAGCUGAAGUCGUUGACUCAUCUUAAGAGGACACUUAAAAUUUCAAAAUUGGAGAAUGUAAAAUGCGUUGGUGAUGCCAUGGAGGCUCAAAUGGAUGGAAAGAAGAAGCUGAAAGAAUUAUCGCUUAAUUGGACUUGCAGUACCGAUGGUUCAUCUUCAAGGGAGGCAGAAACUGAAAUGGGCGUGCUUGACAUGCUAAAACCUCAUACAAAUCUGGAGCAAUUUUGUAUCAAAGGCUAUGGAGGUAUGAAAUUUCCAACUUGGUUGGGAGAUUCCUCAUUCUCAAAUUUGGUGACCCUAAAAUUUGAAAAUUGUGACAUGUGUACUGCCCUGCCGUCAGUCGGCCAACUACCCUCUCUAAAGCAUCUUGCAGUAUGUGGAAUGAGCAGAGUAAAGAGGCUGGGUUCAGAGUUCUAUGGGAAUGAUCCUCCAAUUCCUUUUCUAUGCUUGGAGACUCUUCGUUUUGAAGACAUGCAAGAAUGGGAAGACUGGAUUCCCCAUGGAUCCAGUCAAGGAGUUGUUGAAGGGUUUCCUAAAUUGAGAGAGCUUCACAUUUUAAGAUGUUCUAAAUUGAAAGGAACAUUUCCAGAGCACCUUCCUGCAUUGGAGAUGCUUGUUAUUGAAGGAUGUGAAGAAUUGUCAGUUUCAGUUUCGAGUCUUCCAGCUCUUUGCAAAUUACAGAUUGGUGGAUGUAAAAAGGUUGUGUGGGAAAGUGCAACUGGUCAUCUCGGAUCUCAGAAUUCAGUGGUUUGUAGAGAUGCAUCAAAUCAAGUGUUUCUCGCAGGGCCAUUAAAGCCGCAACUGCCAAAAUUGGAAGAAUUGGAGAUAAAUGAUAUGAAAGAGCAUACAUAUAUCUGGAAGAGUCAUAACGGAUUACUACAAGACAUUUGCUCUCUCAGAAGACUGACGAUUAGACGGUGUCCCAAACUUCAAUCCUUGGUGGCGGAGGAAGAGAAAGACCAACAACAGCAGCUCUGCGAGUUGUCAUGCAGACUUGAAUAUCUAGGAUUGAGCUAUUGCGAAGGCCUUGUGAAGCUGCCACAAUCAUCUCUCAGCCUCAGUUCCUUGAGAGAGAUAUACAUCUGCUACUGCAGUUCCCUUGUUUCCUUUCCUGAGGUUGCUCUGCCUUCCAAGUUGAAGAAAAUUAGGAUUAGCAGUUGUGAUGCACUGAAAUCGUUACCAGAGGCAUGGAUGUGCGACACCAAUUCAUCUCUCGAGAUCUUGGAGAUUUGGAUUUGCUGUUCGUUGACAUAUAUUGCUGGAGUCCAGCUACCACGGAGCCUUAAGAGGUUGCAUAUCUUGUUGUGCAAUAAUAUAAGGACUUUGACAGUGGAAGAGGGCAUCCAGUGUAGCAAUAGCAGCAGCAGCAGCAGAAGGUACAUCUCAUCCCUUCUCGAGCACUUAGAAAUUGGCAAUUGUCGAUCUCUGACAUGUAUAUUUUCAAAAAACGAGUUACCUGCCACGCUUGAGUCCCUUGAAGUUGGCAAUCUACCUCCGUCUCUUAAGGUACUUGAUGUUUAUGGAUGUCCAAAGCUGGAGUCAAUAGCAGAAAGGUUGGACAACAACACAUCUCUUGAAACAAUCAGUAUUUUGUGCUGUGAAAAUCUGAAAAUUUUACCGAGUGGUUUACAUAAUCUCCGCCAGCUUCAAGAGAUUAGCAUAGAGAAAUGUGGAAAUCUGGAGUCCUUUCCCGAAGGGGGAUUGCCUUGUGCGAAACUGAGUAAGCUCAGGAUCUAUGGGUGUGAGAGACUAGAGGCCUUACCCAAGGGAUUGCACAAUCUGAAGUCUCUUCAAGAAUUAAGAAUAGGAAGAGGAGUUGAGCUUCCAAGCCUUGAAGAAGAUGGCCUUCCCACCAACCUUCAUUCACUGGAGAUUGAUGGUAAUAUGGAGAUUUGGAAGUCAACGAUUGAGUGGGGUCGGGGAUUCCACAGAUUCUCCUCUCUGCGAUGUCUUGCAAUCAGCGGAUGCGAUGACGACAUGGUGUCAUUUCCACUAGAGGACAAAAGAUUAGGGACCGCGCUUCCUCUUCCUGCCUGUCUAGCAUCCCUGAUGAUUGGUAAUUUUCCAAAUCUGGAACGCCUAUCUUCUUCAAUUGUUGAUCUUCAAAACCUCACUGAAUUGUAUCUCGGGGAUUGUCCCAAGCUCAAAUACUUUCCGGAGAAGGGCCUGCCUUCCUCACUUUUGCGAUUAUACAUCGACGAAUGUCCGUUGAUAGCAGAGAAGUGCAGAAAGGAUGGAGGACAAUAUUGGGACUUGUUAACCCAUAUACCCAGUGUUCUAAUAGAUUUAGCAAAGGAGGAGGACUCUAUUAAUUAAUUAAUGAAUUAAUUUCUCGUUAUCAGCGGUUGAAACUUCAGUUUCUUAUAUUUGUCUUUUCCGCGGUACGGUUACAUAUAUUUGUGUAUGUAAUUUUAAAAUUUAAAUCUCAGUUGAAAACUGUUUUAAAUUAAUAAAAAGAAAAAUGUUAAGUAGAGUAAGGGGCUCGCAUUAUUUCAGCAGCGGGGGACAUAUGUGUAUUAAUUAAUUAAUUAAUUAAUGGAUUAAUUUCUUAUGCGUAUCUCAUUCUAAGCUGUUGAAAUAAACUUCAGUUUCUUUUAUUUGGCUGUACAGUUACGCAUGUGUAAUAUUUCUCUUCAUCAGAUUUCGACAAAAAUUGUUAAUGUUUUUAUUAGUAAUUAAUUAGUAUGUUAGUGUUCGUCUUUUGUUCCAGAACAAUCUGCCUCUUCAGCAAUAAUGUUACAAUGUUCUUUUGAUGUUGUUGUUUAGCAAAGUGGUUUUUUACGUGCUAAUUAAACACAUGAGGGCUAGGCCGUGUUACAAAAUUAUUUGUAAUCUUUAAUUUAAUUGUUUAUGUGCCAUCGCUAUUAAUAUUAAUCGAUAAAUAUAAUUUUAUCAGUUAC